AGAGAGAAGAGUGCAGAUUUGGAGAGACAAAGAGAGGUGAAAGCAGAGGAAUAGCUGUCGUUGCAACCACAUCACAAGACUGCUGCAAGAAGGGGUUAUCGGGAACAAGGUCAAGUUGCAGAGCCGUGGGUGCUUGCCUCUGCAGCCUAGUUGGUGAUCUUGGGGACUCACUUUUCCCAGACAUGUUUACACUGUUCUCCAUCACCGAGAUUCAGACCUAAGAUUGAGACAAUGAGCAUAAAAGCUAGAACGAGAGAGGAAGUUAGAAAGAGUGAUGUAAAGAGGAGAAUAAAAGGGAGAGAGGUUUUGUGUGUUGUUGUCAAUGAUGGCGCAAAAGGAGGGUUUGGUUAUGGUGGAACAUGUGGAGGACAUAGGAAAGAGGGAGCUGUUACUUUGAAACGGUCAUUAACUAAACAAAUAAAGUUGCCUCCUUUGUUGUUGUUUUCUUCUACUUUCUCUACUCUCUAUAUGUCGUCGUUGGCUUUGGGUAUCUUCUAAUGUGAUACACUUUUGGUUUCAUAAAAGGCCAAAAUUAAGGUCAACGUUUUUUUAAGAUUAUUUUCGAUUGUUGAGAUCGUUUAAAUGCAAGUGAAGGUUUGAUUUCACAUUUCAGUUUAUGGUUUUACUGAUUUUUUUUUUAUAAAAGAACGAAACCCAAUUGAAAUUCUAUGUAAUGUUGUAGAAACAUAAAAACGACCCAAAGCAACAAUAAAGACGUUGACAUUUUUUAGGCCUUUGACCAAAAGUGUAAGAUCCACAAAGGGCAUAACAUAAGUAACCGAUACCCAACAACAGAGUGGAGAAAGUAGAACCAAAAGAAGAAAGAAAAUAAAGGAAGCAACUUUUUUAGUUUAGGUAAUGACCGUUUCAAAGUAACUGCCAUUUUCUAUUUUCCUUCACAUGUUCCUUCAUAAUUAAAAGCUAAUGACCGUUUCUUUUGCGCCCUCAUUAACGACAACACACAAAAACACCUCUCUCCCUUUUAUUCUCUCCUCUUCACAUCAGUACUCUUUCUGUUUUCCUCUCUUUUAUACGCAUUGUCUCAAUCUUGAGUCUGAAUCUCGGUGAUGGAAAAGAGUGUUAACACGUUUGGGAAAAGCGAGUCCCCAAGAUCACCGACUAGGCUGCAGAGGCAAGCUCCCUCAGCUCUGAAUCUUGACCGUGUUUCCGAGAAUCCCUUUGUGCAGCAGUCUUGUGAUGCAGUUGCAGGUGCAGCUAUUCCUCUGCUUUCACCUCUCUUUGUCUCUCCAAAUUCGCACUCUUCUCACUCUAAAGAAGGGCACAUAAAUCCAAAUCCACACGCUUCUCCCUCUAGAGAAGGGCACGAUUUUACGUUUCGGGCGGGUAAUAGUGAGAAGAACGGAUCUCAGCCUUCAAUGGACCACAAGGAAGGGUGGCAGCAUUCGGCUAAGGUCGACCAUAGUGACCAGAUGAGUCUCUUGAAUAUGUUUCAGACCAAGUUCCUGCUUGUAGAUCAUUCACAGUGAGGGUUUUAGCAUUUAUGAUGGUUUCUUUAUGUUUUUCUUGCUAAUCCAUUUCUCAAGAUGCUGUAAUAAGAUAUUAGCUAGAUACAAUUGUAAGCAAGAUCCAGCUUUUGGGAAGUUAAUUUUCCAUUGCGUAAAAGACAAUAGGAAUUCAUGAAACAAGGUCAAAGUUGAUACGCCUUCUUCGACAGGAAAAAUCUUUUCUUUUUGUACAACAAGCCAACCAGAGUACACUUUCCCAUAAAUAAUCAUGUCUCCCUCCGUCGGUCUUAAAUCGUAAGGUAAAAAGAAAGACACUGAACAUUUGAAGGACUGUGACUUUUCUAAAAGCAUUUCUAGUGUCAAGAUCAGAAGUCGAACUCGCCUGUUGCCUGAAAAAGUAGACAUGUAGUGUGUUAGUAUUUUAUCGUUACCAGAAUAGCUCCAAUCUUAAUUGGGAGGCACAUAUUACUUUGUUGAAGAGAAUGUCCUUAUCGUUUAUAUGCAUGAUCCCGUCUUUCAGAUUGCACUUCCACCUGCUCUUUGUGCGAGUCACCUAAUUACAACACCAAAAAUGUCUUAUUGUGAUUAGAGUUACGUGCAGAAAAACACAACCGGAAACUAUGUAAACAGGAAAGUCAUUACCUUAUCAAAUUGAGCUAGAACCAGAUGUUGCGUGUUCAUAUCCUCGCCACUUUCAAGGUCGUCCAACUCGUCAUCGUCAUCAUCUUCGUUCAACAGCUCUUCAUCAUCUUCAACGAUAUUGUUUUGUACAGUAACAGGAGUGCUUGUUUGGAUCUCUAACAAAAAAGAAGAGGGAAUUUAGCAGAUGAUAAUCAUUUACUUGCUCUAAAACAAUCUCCAACAUUUUUGAUUGGCUUUUCUCACCGUUUGGAGCAGGAGUUCUGGCCUCGUUAAAGUCUUCACUGGGUCCUUGAUAACUGUAUAUCUACAACGCAGUAAAUGAAAUUCAUGGAAUUACUAGCAAACCUACUUGGGUGACGGUGUAAUAGACAUCUCUAGACAAAUGUUGCAUGUUUGAUGGCAAAUCCAAAUGCAAUAUCUAUGAUGGGUAGCAAGGAGGGAUCCAAUUGUACUAAAUCAUAAGAGUUUCCAGUUACUGAUUUGUGAGUAUGUCUACUGAAAUUACUGAUUUGUGAGUAUGUCAAAGUAAGUAUAUAUCUACUGAAAUUUUGACUACUAAAUGAAAAGCAGUAUUCUUACAUUUGGUGUGGACAGCAUUUCAUCAUAAGGGUCAGGCAUUGGCCCAUCAACUUGAGGAAUCUUGGAUGAUGAGCAGAAGAAGUCUCGUGGGACCUUUCUAUCGCCAACAGAGGUUAUGCGGAGUGCAUAACACUCAAAGUUUGCCUGUAAAAUUGUGCUCCAGUCAGGUGUAUCACCAAGAUGCUAAAUACAUCUUUCUUGAAAGAAAUUAUAAGCAGGUGUUACAAAUACUUUCAUGAUUCUGUUUUUAUGAUGUGAGCUAUUCCAAAUGCAAAUGUGGAGUUCUACACACACACACACCUUAGGAAUAGUAUCGCUUGCACCAUCCUGUUGAGGUAUCGAUCCACCAUUUUGAUAAUGUCCAGAAGAAUCGUCACGUUUUCGUUUCCCAGAGGAUGGCACAAAUAAAUCCUGGACAUAGUUUGAUUAAAGAUAAUAAGUUCCUUAGUUGAGGUAUACUCAGCUUAAACGAUAUGUACAACAAUGAAGAAGUACUUGAGAAGAGCACUGAUCAAAUCAAUCACGUAAGUGUUGCAAAGAAGAGAAACCAAAACGAAAAUACCAAAUUCGUGGUUUAGAUGUUAAGAAGAAGUACCUGCGUAAACUGCUGGUUAGAGUUUCCUCUCUCAGGCUCAUCACGGCCAUCCACAUAAGCUAGCAGCAGGUCAGACAUUUAUAUCCCAAACAACAAACUGAAAUAUAUUUCUUUUGACGGAGACAUUAAGUACUGGAAAAACUAGUACUUACCAACAUUGACAUCAAGUCUAGGAUUUGCCCACGGAGAAGGCGGUGGCUGCAAUAACGAACAUAAUCUCAGUUUAUGUAAAUCAGAAGAACCAGUAAGUAAAAAAGUCAAUUAGUUCUGCCUCUGUAAAUUUUAGGAAACACCGAAUUAAGCAGUUGCACUACACAGCUUCACAGUUUAAUAAGCAUAGCUCACCAUAUAAGGACUGGGUCUUCCUUUAACAUCAAGGUUGACUCCAUUCUCAGUUCCAGGAGUUGUAUAAUCACUUGAGCCGGUAGGGAUGUUAUACAUGGAAGAGUUAUCAGCAGUACCCGGAAGCGGCGUUGGAAGGGGAGUCUGCAAUGGUGUCUGGUCAACACAAAAACAAAAAAGCCGAAAACAUGUAAAAGAAGCCAACUGAUACACCCAAAGCAUGUGUUCAUAUCUCAAAUUACAGAUUGAAGACUAGUGUAAGUUUAAUUACCGGAGGAAAGAGCAUUUCAGCAGUGGGAGUCUCAUACUCCUCUGUACCUUCAUAGGGAACAUUCAAAUCAUGAGUCAAUGGACCUCCAGGUGUUGGCUUCUGAGCCGAUGACCUCUCUAUUGGUCCAUUCAAGACUCCAGCUUGCAUCAUCUUCGUCUCCCAAAUCUACUCGGACAAAAACACAGGUCCAAUUAAGCUCCAAGAAUCAUGGAUUUAAGCCAAGUAAAGGAUAUGAAAUGAUGAAUUCCGAAAAAACCCUAGUUACUACGGAACAAAUCCAAUCCACCCACAACGUCGAAUCCACUAAAGAUAUCAAAUUUCAAUCAUUGAUCAGCUCUAAUUGAAAACUCACUCCUUGAAGCUCGCUGAGAACACUCUCGCCAGGACCUCCGUUGUUAAUAAACUCCUCUCGGACUUUGUUGACGACAUCCUCGAUAACAUGAAUAUACACAGCACUCGUUGUCGUAGUUGUACCCAUCUUCUCAGCCUCUCAAAUCUCCUUAAUUUAAUCUCCGGCGAAAAACCAAAUUCGUUCUCCGGGAAUCUGAUUUCAUCAGAAGCAACAUUUUAAGGAAAUUUAGCCAAGAAAAUGCCCAAAACAAAAACAAUAAACCAAUCCAAGCUCGUGACCCUCACCUAGGGUUUCGGCGGAGGAGGUAAGACGGAGUCUGGGAGAGAUCGGCCGGCGACGAAGCGUAGACAGAAGACAGAGAGAUCAGAGAUCGAGAGGAGCGGUCAAGACCGAACAGCAGCGAAGAAUAUAAAUAGGUUUGGAUCAGAUCGUGUCGCAAUAGUGACACGUGCCAUCAUCUCCGCGAUUGUGAUUUAUUUUCCCAGAUUUUAUUUUAUUUUUUAUUUUAAGGUUUCUUCGCGGGAUUUUUCUCAUCACAUACAUAAGACUUUUUAUUUCUUAAAUAUAGGAUUAACGAAAAAUUAAUUCUUUAUAAUAUUACCCUAAAAGUCUCAUCGUACUAUGAUUAAAGUUAAUUUAGUUGUUUAAAUUUAUAGGAUUGUAAAACAAGUUAUCUCAUUAAAUAAUUAAAACGUUAGAAUUUUCUUAUCACUUAAUGCAGUUUUUCUUGAAAAAGUAUCAAAGAUAAAAAAAAAAACAUUUUCAAAACAUAAAUCGUUUCUUAUCACAAUGGCAAGAUAUGCGGAUCAUUUGUUGCAGCAAGAAACAUUUUCGAUGAGAGCAAAAAUUAAGGUAAAUUUGUCACUUUUAUUUCUCAAGUGAUAAAGAUUCAAUGGAACCAUGGAUGCUUGUAAAUAUGAAAACUGGAUGCUCUUAAAUCUUAAGUCUUAACCAGUGUUCUAAAAAGCGGUCUAGGCGGUCGCCUAGGCCCCGACUAGGCGCUAGGUUCUCAUGCGACGCCUAGAUAACCGUCUUGACCGCCUAAAGUUACAUAGAUCUUGUUUAAUGUAUUUUUUUCAAUUUUAAUUAGAGUUUUAUUUAUAUAUAUAGUUAUACAUAUUUAUAUAUUGUUUAAUAUAAAUAUAAAUAAAUGUUUUAUCUAGUUUUGUUUAUAAUUUCAUAAUUUUUAGUUUUAUAUAGACAUUUUAUAUAACUUUUAUAUAUAAUAUCAUAUUUAUAAUAUUUUAUGUUAUAAACGUCUAAACCGCCUAAAAAAUUGCCUAGGCCCCGAUUAGACGUUCUAGGCGCUAGGCACUGGGUCACCGCCCGCUUAGCGCCUAGCGCUUUCUUGAACACUGGUCUUAACUACUUUAACAGUCAACUUAAACAGAUUUUAUAGUAUCAAUUUUGCAGGUUUGUUACACCCCCAUCUAUGUAUGUUUCAAAACAGUUUUCUAUUGUUCCUAUGUGAUCUAUUACACAAAUACGUAUUAUAUGUUUUGGGCCCGUGUGGGCUUCAACAUAAAGUUAUACCCAAUAAUACAGAAAAGGGGUGAUAAUUCCAUUCGCUAAAAGACUAGUGUGAUUUAUGAUUAUUUUUUUUGGGUCAAAAGUGAUUUAUCUAUAUAUAUUUUUUUUAACAAAGUGAUUUACUCCCUCUAUUCCUAAAACAAUGAUGUUUUAGUUUUACACAUAAAUUAAUAAAAAGUAACUUUUAUAUUUUUUAAUUAUUAUUUUGUUAGUUUAAUAAUACUCCCUCUGUUCUUAGAUAUUUGAUGUUCUAGAGUUUUAGUUUGUUCCACAAAGUUUGAUUUUUUAGGUUUUUGUUUUAUUUUUUAUUGAUUAAAAUUAAUAUAUCGUAAACUUUAAGACGUAAUGAUUAACUGUUUUCUAAUACUAUUGGUUCAAAGUUAUUAAAAAAUAUUUAGUAUAAAAAAAUAAUUGACAAAUAAUUAAACAAUGAUUGCUUCUUAAUAUAUGUGAAGACUCUAGAACAUCAAUCUUUUAUGAACAGAUGGAGUAUUAGUUUUACUUCCCUCAUUCUACUAUUGGUCACAAACAAAAAUAAUAAUGAUGUUUUUACAAAACAUCAAUCUUGGUGGAACAAGUAAAAAACCUAAAACAUCAAAUAACUAGAAACAGAGGGAGUAUAAUUUAUCCUCUUGUUUUAGCGUCUAAAAAGAUCUUGCCGCAAGGCUAGUUUUCCCUCGAUCAAAACGAACAGUCGCCACAAAAGUUCUGGUUCAUACUUAGCCACUUGGUUCCGCAGUCUCCACCGUCAGAUUUCCCAAAAUAUUCACUCUGACAAAAUCCAACGUUUCUCUUAAAGCCACGUCAUUCUUUUUACCGAACUCGUUUUUUCUUCUCGUAAAAAAACUGUGUAAUGUUUCUGACACUGUUCACUUUUUCUCUCUUGUACUUUUGUGUUUGGUUUCUCACCUGAGAAGUCUGAGUUUCUUUCUUUCAUUUUUUUUUCACCUUUUUGCGUAUUUUUUUCCUAUUAAGAGUUUCUCCGUACGAUAAUUUUUUAUUUUUUUGCAAUAAUUGAAAAGGCUUUUGAAUAAAUUUGUAACGUGAUCACUUAUUUUCUGAUUAAAAUCCAAAAUUCUUAUGAUCAUGACAUUAUCGUCAGUGUCAAAAAGAGACAAAGAUCGAGUGGUUCAUAACUUUCCAUUGGAUUCUUCAAUAUCUCGAAAAAAUUUUCCCGCUAUAAGAUAGAAGAUUAAUUUUAUUCAUGUCAGUAACACGGAACAGCGUCCAAAGUACGUACAUUCUUAUACACAGUAUAGUAAUUCUAUCUUAAACUUUUCUUUAACAUAGUACUCUCUUAGUUAUUUGAUGUUUUGGGUUUUUUAUUUGUUCCACCAAGAUUGAUAUUUUGUAAAAACAUCAUUAUUAAUUUUGUUUGUGACCAAUAGUAGAAGGAGGGAAGUAAAACUAAUAUUAUUAAACUAACAAAAUAAUAAUAAAAAAUAUAAAAGUUACUUUUUCUUAAUUUGUGUGUAAAACUAAAACAUCAUUGUUUUAGGAACAGAGGGAGUAUAUUACUAUAAAACUGCCACAAGAUGCAAAAAGUGAAAAAAUAAAAAGAUUUGUGUAACCCUUUUAAGAGUUUAUUCUGUUUUUGUUGGAUUUUUCUAUUCUAAAUGGGUUUUGUGGUGUAAGCAAAUUUUAUAAUCUAAUAAUUAUGCAACUUUAUUGACCAAAAUUUUAUCAUCAUAAUUGUAAAUCCAUGACAUUAACUAGACCCCAUUAAGAUAUUGUUUUGAAGUCUAAUCACGGCUAUAAAAAGAGCAUAAACGUUGCAAAAGCCAUAUGACGACAAAUAAAAUUAGUAAAUAAGUAUGUGAAAAACACUCAGAUCUGUUGACCGAAAACAAAAGAAACCUCAGAUCUUUGACCAAAUAAAUUAUCAUUGGUUGUUAUUAUUGAAUUUAUUUCAUUAUUUUUGCCAGACAAUGAAAGUGACUAUUCGAUUUAAUCCUAACAAAAUAAUUGUACGUCUCGACACAUCGACCCUCCAGAUUGUGGCAUAUAAUUUCAAUUUUUUCUUCAUCAGACGACACACUUUUAAUUAUUUAUACCUCUGUAUACAUGACUCUGUCUUAUCAAAAUUAAUAGUAAAUAUAUUAUCAAAAGAAUCUCUUCUUACAAUGUACUAGUAUGGAAACUUGUAGCAAACUUAGAGUAGAGAAUCAAACUGAUCUAAUCAUUUAAAAAAAAAAAUGCAUGAGAUCUAUCUACCUAGGAAUCAUGUUUAUGCCAACAUACAAGCAUAGCCACACACCUUCUCAUGAUGUAAAACCUUCCCUUCUGUUCUUUGGCUAAGCUACUGUACUUUUGUGUUAUUGACCCUUUCUCUUUUUUCGAUGAACUUCUGGAGAUCGAAGACGAGGAAGAAGAAGAAGGCACUGAGCAUUUGGUGGAUGAGCUUCGUAAGAAUGCAGGAGCUUUUGAGGAGGAAGCACUUGUUGAGAAGCUUCUAGAGAAUUUGGAUUUAGAUGAAGUUGAAGAAGAGGAACAUGACGCAGCUAAUGCAUCCUUUUUCGACAGCUUCCACUUCUCGUCCAUGUUUUGUGUUGCAGAAGAGAGAGAAAGAGAGAAUGAACUAGAGCUUCUGACUCAGAUGGAGGGUCUCUGGUUUUUUUGUUUUACUUUUAGUUUGAUUGUGAGUUUGUGGUGAUUGAGCUAGAAGGAGAGAUGGUGAUCUAGAGAGAGAUGGAGAGAGAGAGAAAGGAAAGCAAAGAGAGGGAUAGUUCUCUCUGCUUAUGUCUAUUAUAUAGUGAGUGCUUCCAAAAUAAUACAUAAGUGGAAAUGAUGAAGAACAGAAGAAGGCUAGAGAAUGAAUUAAAUAGUUAAAAUGGUACUAUUAACUAGCUUGGCUCGUAAUGUGCAACUAUUAUUUAAUUAGGACUAAUUAGUGGAACCCUGCACAAAAUUUUACACAUAAUUUAACUUUUUUAAAUAACAUUAAUGAUUAAAAAAUUACUUCAGUACUAGGAAAAAACUAAUAAUCUAAGCUCUAAACAUAUUUUUACACAUAAUUUUUUUUUUUCAAUAAUGAUUAGAAAAUUACUUUAGUACUAGGAAAAAAUAAAUAAUUAAAGGGAGACUCACAAAAAUGCCCAUUUUUCAAUACCCCUUUUCAAAAAUGCCCUCUUUGGCUGUCUAUUUUUAAAAAUACCUCUUUUAUGUACAAACUGACUAAAUUACCAUUCUUUUAAUAAAAGAUAUCAUAAAUAUAUAAGGAAAUAUAACAAAAUUAGGUCCACAAAAUACAAAAUAUUUUUUGGCGGGAAAGUGAUCCCGCAAUUUUUCCAGCCAAAACACUUGUAAAACCUUUAAAAUACCUUGUAAAAUUUUUUCCCGCCAAAAAAUUUUCCCGCCAAAAAAAUUUUUUUGCGGGAAAAGUGAUUCCGCAAUUUUUUUGGCGUAAAAUUUUUGGCGGGAAAAAUUUACAAGGUAUUUUAAAGGUUUUUUACAGGGUAUUUAUAAGGUUUACAAUGUAUUUUAAAGGUUUACAACGUAUUUAUAGAUAUUAUAGAUUUACAGCUAUUUNNNNNNNNNNNNNNNNNNNNNNNNNNNNNNNNNNNNNNNNNNNNNNNNNNNNNNNNNNNNNNNNNNNNNNNNNNNNNNNNNNNNNNNNNNNNNNNNNNNNUAGCUUUUCUUAUUUCAUCUCACACGUGUAAUGGUUCACAAGUAUUUCAUAGAGCUUUUUGUGUUGGGUAUACUUUUUUAGAUGACUUUUAUCGCCUUGUAAACCCUUUUAGAAUCCACUGUAGAUCCUUACAAGACACUUGUAAAUAGCCGUAAAACCUUUAAAAUACUUUGUAAAUUUUCCCGCCAAAAAAUUACCACCAAAAAAAUGCGGAAUCACUUUCCCGCAAAAAAUUUUUUUGGCGGGAAAAAUUUUUACGGGAAAAUUUUACAAGGUAUUUUAAAGGUUUUUACAAGUGUUUUGGCUGGAAAAUUGCGGAAUCACUUUUCCCGCCAAAAAAUAUUUUGUAUUUUGUAGACCUAAUUUUGUUUCAAAUAAAGGUAAAAUGGUAAUUAAAAAUUAAAAGAGGGCAAACUUAAAAAUAGACUCUCAAAAGGGGCAUUUUUGAAAAAAGAUAUUGAAAAAGGGGCAUUUUAAACAAUUUCUCAUAAUUAAAACAAUAUUGAUACAUGAGUAAAAAAAAAAGAUCAAAUGGCUGUAUAAAAUAAAGUUGUUUUUAUGACAGAAAAGCGAAGUAUUUCAUUCAGUAUUUAAAUUUGUCCACUGAUAGUUUACAUGUCAUGUACAAAAGGAUAUGAAAAAUUGUGUGUCGAUAAUUCAUUAUUUUUUACUAUAUUAAUUGGUCUUGAGUUUAAUUUUAAAUUUCGUGUUAUAAUCAUGUUAAUCAGUUUUCACCAAAUUUUUUAGGUUUCCUUCUUACUGUUUUAUGAAUAUAAUAUAUAUAUAUAUAUAUAUAUAUAUAUAUAUUACAGCAAAUAUAUCCAUUCAAGCUAAAAUCAGACUGUUUUCUUAAAGAAAAAACCAGUCCGGAGUUACAGAGCUUACAUGAGAAAAUAUAACAUCGCGUGAUCGUGUCUUUUUUGUAAGACAGUCAGCAAGGGUAUUAUUAGUGUGUGGGAUAAAAACUGUUUUAUGAAUAUUUUGUUUACCAGUAUUAUGAAUUUGAUAUUUUAAUUUGAUUACAUAUGCUUUAAAAUAAUCCAGUAUAUAGACCGUAAGACGUGGGUAAUCCGUAAUCGCAUAUUUUAGUUUUAUACAAGGACGUUGUUAAUAUAAAUCAAUCGUCACAUGAGUGAGAGAGUCCAAUAAAUUGUAUCAAUAAAACUGACAUCGUGGGACAGGAGUCACAAUGAAAUUUGUAGAGGAAUACUGUUUCUAAAAUUGUUUGGUUUAGGAGUUAAGCUUUUCACAAAAUGCAAGAUAAUUGUUUUUGGAAUCAUGCCUACUGCUAAAUACAUAUAAGAUCCAAUUCAAAGAAGAGGGGACACAAGUAUCCCGUUUAAACACUGUGCCUUGAAUAAAACUACUUGUAAAUGACAAAUUACAUCUUUUAGUUAGAGGAAAGAAAGUUUUAGACAUAUAUUAUCUUUCAUUGGUAUAGUGGUUGAUGUUAAAACAAGAGACAUUGUUUCUAAUUUGUCUAGAAACGUCUAAAAUCAAGGCGCGGGCUUGUCUCUCAAACCAAAUAAUGAUUCAGUGGUCUAAUUUUUUAAAAAAUUGAAAACAUUAAUAUCUUUUUGUAAGAAAGUGUCAUUUGGGAGUGUUUGGAGAGAAAGGAGCAGAGAGGGACGGGUAAAGUGUUUCUUACGAAAAUAAUUCGAAAUCGGGGCCAAGAGUAGACAGCUUUGGUCUAAUAAUAUUCCACUUGUUUUCUUUUCACUUCUGUUUUCAAAAAAAGUCUGGCUUUCUCGAAAUUAACUCACUCCAUUAAUUACACUUUAUAAUUAACAUUGUGCCGUACGUUCUACCACUUUUCAAUUGGUGAACUUUCAUGCUUGUUCAUCCUUUAAAAUCAGUCAGAGUCUAAUUUGUGGUGUUUACGUCACCAUGCCAAUCAUAGAGGAUCCAACUUUGAUUUUUUUUUUUUUACUGAAUCCAAAACAAACUAAAUAAAUCAGAUAAUCAUGUUUUAUAUAUGGAUACACAUUGUUUCAUGUUCGGAGGAAUGGUAGAUUUUGGUGUCGGAAUUGCUUGAUUUAUGAGGGUUAAAUGACCAUUAUUCCGAGUUUGGCUGGUUUAAUUAUGACUAUGGGAGUCGGAUUAUAAUGUUAAAACGGAUUUUCGUAUUUGUAAGCAUUUAUGUGCAUGGUUAUCAAGGGUUCUAGCCUUCUAGGGCGUAUUGUUUGUUUUUCUCUUCCGUUAAACAAUCAACAUUUCAAAACUUUACUUAAAAAAAAGGGACAGACAAAGUUUCGAAGCUAGAUGUCUUUAAAAAGAUUUGUUCAUAGGAAAAAAUGUCAAAAGAUUAUGGCAUGGCAUCCAUAAUUCAAGAAAAAUGUUUGACCCCUUCUAUUAUUGAAUUAUGAUGGACCGUCGCACUCUUCGUCCGGCUUCUAACAGAUUAAUCAACAAAUAAGUGUGUUUUCGACUGAAUGGUACGCAAAAAUUUGCUAUAUAUGAGAUUUUGAUCAUUAACAUUUUGAAACAGUAGUCUUGGUUCGUAGAUUAGAUUUGUAUAGCACACUAAGCCAGAACUUCACGAAUAUAUCCCUUGCUGUGGUAUAACUGAUGCCAUAUAACCACAUCUACAGCUUUCAGUUUAUCAUUAGAAAUAAAACAAACAAAGCGGUUAUGAAAAUUUAAAAUGCAUCCAUGCCUACAAAUAAUACAAAGACAGACCAUUUAUACAUUAAACAAAGAAAAAAAACUUCUAAUUUCUCCAACCGGACAGCAAAAAAAAGGAAAGGAAAGGAAUAAUACAAAUCAAAAGUUCAAAACCAAAACUGGUUCAACACAAAGUCCAUACAAACAUUGUUGUGCCUAUCCUACAUGACUAGUUGACUACAUCAUAAAAAAAAAAAAAAAAGCCGAAACACUUGAUAUAAAUCGUCAAGCCUAGCUAGCCUUCCAUGGCGUGCACAUAUAUACACACACAUAACCGCAUUCAAACCCGAACCGGCCGUUUACAAAAUCAAUUCAAAGGAACGGGAUGAUCUAAGCGCAACUAGGUUGCCGUUUGGAGGCUGCCACCACCGAGAAGAACAAGUCUAGAUCCGGUGGCUGAAAAAAUCCCUUCUUCGGUGGUUCCCUCUUCUUUCCAAAGGGUAGUAGCGAUCUCUUCCUUCUCACAGGAGGCGGACACGGCGGAUAUGCUGGUAUCCGACAUUCAUCACGUGUCGGCGUCGUGCAUCCCAUGUGGUAAUCAUCAUCAACGGUCACCGUGUCUCCGUCAUAACUCUCCUCCAUUUUUGUCCUCUCUCUCGCACUUUCCUAAUAAGAAGAGUACUUAAUUUGAUUGCUUCUUUAUUACACUAGUUGUGGAAGUGGCGUAGCUAGCUUGUUCUGGAAGUUGCUAAGUACUCGCGGUCUAGAAACAGACACGUGGAGGAACGUACUGCCACGUGCCAAAGCGUUGUUAUAUUCAGGUGGGAAAAGUUGCCACAUAUACCCCACUCGGCCCAUUAAGGGCCCGAAUUGAGAUUUGCAAAAUCAAGAACCGGCUGGUUUUAUAGUUGAGCCAAGCGAGGAGACUAAACCGGUUGAAACAAUCCACGGAACAGUCUGAAACGCGUUGAUGUCUUGUUUCCCAAGCAGCUAGCUCAAAAGUGACAUAAAUUGCUCUCUCAACAAACUCAAUAAAAAUCAGAAAUUUCGUCCUGGGCUCUCGAUUUUUUCUUCAAUCACCACAUUUUCACUUCUGAAUUUGCUCUAUCUGAAGCCAAAGCUGCCAUCUUUCUCCUCUGGGUUUUGAUUAGAUCUCCUAUUUCGGUUUCUAUUAUAUUAUGCGAGCUCACUUUUGAUUGUCCUGAUUCUCUGACAAUGAUAUUCUCCAAGCUUGGUUCUUCACUCGCUCGAUCCUCUCGUUCUAAGGUUCGUUUCGUUGUGAUGCUUUUUCUUUUCCAGACGCGUGUUAAUUUCCUAAUUUUUGAAUAUUCCGGUGAAAUUAGGGAUUGGUGUACGGCGGUGGUGUGCGAUCGGCGAUUUUAAACCAAGGGAGGCUACGAGCGCCGCAGAAUCUUGAGGCGGCUGUCAAUCAAGUGGAUGGUGGAUUAGGGUUUCUGAGGCGGCACUUUGCUUCUUUAGCUGCUCGGAAGGGACUAGAUACCGGUGAUUUGAGCCGCGUUUUCGCUAACCCUAGAUUGCGUCGGUUCUUUUCUAGCCAAAGCCCGAAGAAAAGGAGUAUUUCUCAAAACCCUAAAUUUUUAUACGGAUUCAAAUUAGUUGGUUCAUAUUGAUUUGAGAGAUAAUUGGAACCCUAAAUUGCAUCUCUUUUGCAGAUUAUGAGAACUACUAUCCAAAAGAUAGUAAGAAAGCACCCAAGAAUGAGCAGAAAUCCCAAUCCGGAGGUGACUGUUUAUGUAACAUUCCCUUACUUUUGGAUGUCGAAUCCAUUUGGUGUUAUGCAAACUAAAAUUGAGUAGAAUAGUUGAUACUUUUGGGAGUUUCGGGAAUCAUUGAAAAUUAUAGGAUUGUUGACAACUUUUCCUUUUGAAAGGAUUGUGAAACUUUGUUUGAAGUUUGUAGUAAUUGAAUAUGUAUUUAAUGCAGAGGGUUCAAAGAAGAAUGAAAACGAGAAUGUUGGGGACAUGUUCACCAAGGAAUCUCAAAAUAUGUUAAUUCCUCUGAUGGCCAUCGCUUUAAUCCUUUCUACUUUCUCUCUUGGUUCCCGAGAACAGCAACAGGCAAGCAUGUUUAACUAAACUCUGUUUAUCUUGUAUUUAAUCAUCUGUAUCAUGUUAUCUAUAGAACUGCAGACGUGGGCAUGUGAUAUGUAAACUGAUUUUCGGUGUUAUAUCUGUUGGUUCAGAUUAGUUUCCAGGAGUUCAAAAACAAACUCCUUGAGCCUGGUCUAGUUGAUCACAUAGAUGUUUCUAACAAAUCAGUCGCGAAAGUCUAUGUGAGGAGUUCACCAAAAAACCAAACUACGGAAGAAGUUGUUCAAGAUCCUGGUAAUGGAGUUCCUGCUAAAGGACGUGGUGGUCAGUAUAAGUACUACUUUAAUAUUGGUAGCGUUGAAACAUUUGAGGAGAAACUCGAAGAGGCUCAAGAAGCGAUAGGCGUUAAUUCUCAUGACUUUGUUCCUGUCACCUACGUCUCGGAAAUGAUCUGGUACCAGGAAAUGUUGAGGUUUGCACCGACUUUACUUCUCUUGGGCACGCUAAUUUAUGGGGCAAGACGUAUGCAAGGUGGACUGGGAGGUGUAGGCGGACCUGGUGGGAAGGGUGGCCGUGGAAUUUUCAAUAUAGGGAAAGCUCAAAUUACGAGAGCAGAUAAAAAUUCCAAGAAUAAGGUUAGCAUUUCAAUCAGGGUGGAGAAGUAGAAGUACCACCCUCAUGUCCCAUUCAUGAUGCUAUUGGGAUUUACAACUGAUCUUUUUUGGUUUUUGCCAGAUAUAUUUUAAAGAUGUUGCGGGAUGCGAAGAGGCUAAACAAGAAAUUAUGGAAUUUGUGCAUUUCCUUCAGAACCCAAAGAAAUAUGAAGAUUUGGGAGCUAAAAUCCCAAAAGGUGCACUCUUAGUUGGCCCACCAGGGACCGGAAAGACCCUUCUAGCAAAAGCUACUGCAGGAGAAUCAGCUGUACCGUUUCUGUCGAUAUCUGGUUCAGAUUUCAUGGAGAUGUUUGUUGGUGUUGGACCUUCCAGAGUGAGAAACUUGUUUCAAGAGGCUAGACAAUGUGCACCUAGCAUAAUAUUUAUUGAUGAAAUCGAUGCGAUUGGCCGAGCGAGAGGACGUGGAGGCUUCUCUGGUGGAAAUGAUGAGCGUGAAAGCACACUUAAUCAGCUGCUAGUUGAAAUGGAUGGAUUUGGUACUACUGCUGGAGUUGUCGUCCUUGCUGGGACUAACAGGCCAGAUAUUCUUGAUAAAGCUUUACUACGGCCUGGCCGGUUUGAUCGUCAGAUAACCAUAGAUAAACCUGAUAUUAAAGGCCGUGAUCAGAUAUUCCAGAUAUACCUGAAGAAGAUCAAACUUGAUCACGAGCCCUCAUAUUACUCGCAAAGGCUUGCAGCCCUCACACCCGGAUUUGCUGGAGCUGACAUUGCCAAUGUCUGUAACGAGGCGGCUCUUAUUGCUGCCAGACAUGAAGGAGCAACAGUUACAAUGGCGCACUUUGACUCUGCAAUCGAUCGUGUUAUUGGAGGUCUGGAGAAGAAAAACCGGGUAUGUGCUUUCGCCUUGUCAACAAAUUCAACUGUUUGGCUUAUAGCCAGUUUUUUAUAUUAUUUGAUUUGUUCAUUUUUGGCAAUAUUGGAACCUCCUCCUCCAUAGGAAUGUAGGAUAGAUCUCAAAAAUUGAAACCCAACAAAUUGGUGACGUAUCAUUAUCAGCCAAAGAUUUGCAUCUUUUUUUCUUCCCAAACCUGAAAUUUCUAACAAUCUUUUUUGGUGGUUUCUCCAUGACCGCAGGUAAUAAGCAAGCUGGAGCGCCGUACAGUUGCAUAUCAUGAAUCUGGCCACGCGGUUGCUGGAUGGUUCCUGGAACAUGCGGAACCAUUGCUCAAGGUGACUAUUGUUCCUCGUGGCACAGCAGCACUCGGGUUUGCCCAGUAUGUUCCAAAUGAAAACUUGCUCAUGACAAAAGAACAACUCUUUGACAUGACCUGUAUGACUCUCGGGGGCCGGGCAGCUGAACAGGUAAAUCUUUCUAUCAACUUUAACUUCGUUUGGUUACUGAAAGUGUUAGAGUGAUAAAACCCCAGACAGUUGCAAAAGAACCAAACCAACCCAAAACGUAAAAUCAUUAGACAAAGCCCAAAGCUUUGCCUAUUGUUGGAAACUGGUAAACCCUAUAAAGCUUUCUCUAACAUCCUUAUAUGAAAAUGUAAAGCAAAGGACUCUAGGAAAAUGAAAUAAAGAAAUUGAAACCAUAAAUUAGGACAUAGAAAGGAUAUAUGCUACUUGGUUGGUAGACAGAGAUGAGAGUUUGUUGAGUUGUUUCCUCUUACAGAAGUCAAGAACUCAUUACGGUUUCAGGUCAUAAACUUUCUGUUAUUUGUUUUUAAGAUGUGAAUCCUGUUCUUUUUGGUGGGUCUUGAUUGCAGGUAUUAAUAGGAAGAAUAUCGACCGGGGCUCAGAACGAUCUGGAAAAGGUGACUAAGAUGACUUACGCGCAAGUGGCGGUGUACGGAUUCAGCGACAAGAUAGGAUUGCUUUCGUUCCCGCAACGGGAAGACGAGUUCUCCAAGCCGUACAGCAACAGAACCGGUGCGAUGAUAGACGAAGAGGUCCGAGAAUGGGUGGGGAAAGCUUACAAGCGGACGGUUGAGCUGAUCGAGGAACACAAAGAGCAAGUGGCUCAGAUCGCUGAGCUCUUGCUAGAGAAGGAGGUUCUGCAUCAGGAUGAUCUUACUAAAGUUUUGGGUGAGCGUCCCUUUAAGUCGGGUGAGAGAACGAAUUACGACAGGUUUAAAUCUGGAUUUGAAGAGACGGAGAAGGAGAGCGAGAAGGAGUCUGUGCCGGUGAAGCCUGUGGAAGAUGGUGGAGUUCCACCGCUUGAGCCACAGGUGGUUCCGACUUAGAUGUUGGAGACGCCCAAAGUUUACUACUCUACUCAUUGUACAUUUAAUCCAAGGCAAUAACAAAACACGCUUCUGUAUUAGCACGGAGGGAUUGUUCUUUCUGGAAAAGUAUCAUUUUUACUUGAUAUAUAAUAUUUUUUCCAACAUUUAGACUUAGACACUUGAAAAAACAAAUUACCUAGACAUACAAAACCAAAUUAGUUUUGGUUAAAGUGUUGUUCCCCUACCAAAGAUUUAGUUAGCUCUUUUUGUUCUCUGUAAAGUAUUUAGCUUUCAACAAAGUAGAAUGUCAUUGUAUACAGCAAAAGUAAAGAAAAUCAAGUACAGCAAACAAAAGAUACAUCAAUGACUCCACAAGCUCUGCCUCUAGAACAAAAAUAAAACAGAACUUGGGAUUUACAUGGGAAAUCUGUAAUGAACACAAAAGCUAAGAAGGGACCCAACAAGAAGAAGAGAAGAGGAUGCGACCUUUCCAACCUUGUAAGAACCAAUUACUAUCUUCAUCAAGGACAAAGUCUUUAUGAUAACCCCAUUUCUUCAUCUUUUCCCUAAACAACUGCACAAGCUCUGCCUCCACAGGCUUCUGUUUAAAUCCAGCCCUAAUCAUCCUCACUUGCCAUUGCUUGUAAGUCUCCGGUCUCUCCACUCUAUCUACUCCUUCACACGCUAUCACAUUCAUCACUUCUCUCCCGUAAAACUCCCCUUCGAAAUGUAUCCUCUCCGGGUUUUCUUUGGACAGAGUCGCACCAAACAAGUCAAAGAGCGCCGAGUAGUGAAACAGAGCUUCUUUGAACCGUGUGGUGAAGAACGGAGCGUUGAAAGAUCCGUUAACUGUCGAACUGAGGAAGACGUUAGGGUUCAUGUCUCUGAUCAGUUUUAGAAAUCCGUCCCUCGGGCAAUCCUCUUCGCCUGGAAUAACGUCUCGAAGGUUCUUGAAUCGGAGCGCAGCAUUAACCGCAAGAACUUCGUUUGGUUGGAUCUUGAACUCCUCCAUCCGGAUUGUUUCCCAAUUCUUAGAGGCAAUUGCAUUGUAUUCGAAUGGAACUCCAAACCGUUUGCAAUACUCUGUCAGUCUUCGACCUGUAUCCUGUAUUCUUUCGGUUGGACGAAGCCCGUGUUGAGGAAUCUCGAUACCGGUAAUCCGUAGUUUCCGUAGUCCGGUGUUGCUCUUUGAUAAGUGCUGUAUAAACAUGGGCCACUGGAAACCGUAAAGGAUACCGAAAUCGAUUAUAUGAAGAACCGAAGCAUCCUUGGCAGCAUCAAAAAUCAUCUUGUUGGAGAAGAAAUAGAUCAAAGUCAUAAACGGAGACGCAGACAAGAACACACUAUAGGAUUUAAGAAUCUGUGCAGCUGUUCGUUUCUUGGAGGAAAUGGAAUCGUAAUAACUCUGGAUCACAGUUCCCGUGCUACCUUCAAGACGCGCCUCAAGUGCAUUGGCGAAGAAAUGAGCUAGUCUCUGUGAUGCAUCACCAACAGGUGAACAUUGCUUCCUUAUCUGCCUCAGCAAAUCAUCAGCCGUAACCUUAUCCCCUGCAGAAACAGAUUGUGCGCAUAGAGUGAGAAGUGUGCGGAAAUCAACCGCUCGACUCUUCUUUUUCCCCCGGCCUUUCUUAACCUGAGCCUUGCUUGAACCAUUCUCGCCAUCUUCGAUAAUCAGCGGAUCAUAUUCACCAUCAAGAAGCAAAACCUUAUCAAACAUUUCUGUCAAUUUCCCAUCUUCCUCAUCCACUGCAAAUUGCUUACUACUCCUAGCUUCCUCUAGAUCAUCUUCUUCUUCCCGCUCGUGAUGAUUCUUCCUAGUUCUCGAGAUAGCGGACCAUCCUUUCUCUUCUUUCACCGGAACAACUCUCUCCAUCUCAGGCUCAAGAUUGAAGAUCCAUUGAUCAGUAUUAGGAAGAAACUUGCUAGCUUCCUCUAGCCCUCUCUUAAACUGCAGAACUGAUUCUGCAUCACUAAACAUACUCCUGACAAGAAUCUCAUUAGCCGGCUGCCCGAAUUGCUCGCCUCCACGCAACAUGUUAAACCCUGGAAACGACACAACACCAGAAUCACCAAGAUGAUUAUCAUACAACAACACUUCAUUCUCAGCAGAAUUAGCAGCUGUUUCGACGCGUACACUAGAAUUGCUGCUGUUACUACUGCUCCUAUAAUAAUCGCCACUAUUACUACUAGUACUAGUAGUAGAAAUCGAAUUAUUAGGAAUAAAAGAGUGAGUUUGCGAGUCGCUGAUGACUUGCUGCAACAUUUCUUCGGUUUGUCGAAGAGCCAAGGAAUCGUAGAACAUAGAUUGCUUCUCCGCGAGACUCUCUUCCAUAAGGAGAAGGUUUACAUAUUUCAAAAGUGUGUUUUCAGAAUCAAUCUCAUCAGCUGGAGGAGAAAAGUGAUGGUCUUGAUCUGGAACCCAAAUUGACGGUUGAUGAUCCAUGCGGAGAUCAAAAUCACUAGACGAAGGAACACCGAAUCCAAGAUCAGGAAUCGAAUUUGGUAAGAAGCUCACAUCGUAAUACUCUAAACCGUUGACCACACCUGAGUAAUUCGAUUCCAUCAUCCAAAAAAAAAAACUCCUUUUUUUCCUAUAAAACCCUGAAUUUGGUUCCUCUUUCGAAGAAGAAAACUUUACAAAAGAUUCAGCAACGAAAUCUGAAUCAGAUGAGAACUCGAGACAACAUUGCUUACAUCUGAAGAAGAAGAAGAAGAAGUGGGAUGAUUAAGUGGAAAAGUAGGAGGAGGCAUAAAGGUGUGGACUUUAUCGAUCAAUUCGUUAAAAAGAGAUAACUUUUGGUGAAUAAUACUAUUCAAAUGGGAUUUGGCUAUAAUUGCUGUGCGUGAGAAAAGAAGCAAGAAAUCGAGAAGUGUAGAGAGAUUAGAGGAAGAGGAAGUUUCCCGGGAAACUCGAAAGGGGACAAGACCAGUCUUGCGAUUCGUCCGAGGAGUCAAAACUAUCUCUCUUUUGACUUGUCAUUAAGAGUUGUAUUCUUGGGCUUGUUGGGCCCAGCUUUUUUUAUAGUAGUGAUCGUCAUGUUAACCACAAAAAGUAAUCUUCUUUUUUAUGACUAGUGGUUCUUUUUAGUAGUGAUAUUUGUCUCCUAAUUCCCCCAUUAACUUUGUCUAAUCCAUAUGUUGACCGAUUCUCGAAACUUACAUGAUCCAUAUGUUUGUUGGAUAGCUUAUAGUUUUGUGUGCUUUAAGAAACUAACUAGUUGCCAAAAUCAAAAUUGAAUAUGUCGACGAGUUUACUAGGAUCUUUAUUUUUCUUUAUAAACAACAACAACAAAAGAAAGUACUUCUCAUUUUAAAAUUUGUAACAGUAUUUUAUAAAUAGCACGAGAUGAUGAUUCUCAUCUGGGAUAUGUUAAGACAUUUUUGUUAAUAAUAGAUGCGGUCAAACCGUACAAACUGUAUAUAUUAAUUUCCAUAUGUACAAUCUUGGAUUCUAAAAUAUACUAAUACAAAUUUCUAAGUUACAUAUUCCGGCCACUUUAGAUGGUGUAUAUAUCAAAAUUAUGUAUGUGUGUACUUGAUCAACUCCUGUUUUAUGAUUAUUAUUUUGAUGUAAAGUCAAAAGUGUUCACAUAAUAAAAUAAUAUAUUGAUUCUAAAGUUUCAAGUUGACAAAACAAAAGAGUGUCACAUGUAAAAACUUGGAGAGCAAGAUUAACAAAGGUUCCUGAUAGGUGGAUUUGAUUAUUUGACCAGUACGAAAUAUUAAAAAAAAAAAGUUGCUGAUGAAUACUAUAUCAACAAACAAACGAAAAAUGAAAACAUAAAAGUGACUUCAUACUUUCAUAGUAGUAUAAUUAUUAUAUAGAACAACGACAGUAAAUAAACACAAAAAAAAAAAAAGUGAAAAGGACCCCUCCAGAUCUGAUCGCACAAUGUCAUUCUGACAUAUAUAUUGUGAGAUUCUCACCAUUUAUUAUUUGUACUAGUAACAUGAAAAUACUUUAUUAUGUCAGAAAAACUCGAAAUUGAGUGGGUGUCACGUUUUUGAGUAACUAUAAUUUUUCGGUCUCCAAAUAAAUAUUCAACUCUUUCGGCGUUAUAAACAAAUCCUGGAUGUAAUAGUUAGGAAAGUUUAUUGGAUUGAUUAUUUCUUUGAUUUUGAAAAUAUUGUUUGUUGUUCAAUCAAUAAUUGUAAGACUUUAGCUAAAGUGAUGUAAUACUACUGAAUACUGAUCAUGAAAUAUUGAAAUUAUUGUUUGUUUCUAUAUUUCUGAUCAUGUCGUCCUAAUACAUGAUUAUCUACUUUUUCAUGAUUUUUUUUUUAUUCUUGGUACACUAAAACCUCUAUAAAUUAAUAUUCUAUAAAUUAAUAAUCACUAUAAAUUAAUAAAUAUUGCUGGUCCCGAGUCGGACCAGUGUAAAAAUUGACGAAAUUCGAUAAGAUAAUAAGAUAAUAACUUUUUUGAAACUCCUAUGUAAAAAUAUGGUCCCAAUAAUAUCAUAAAUUAAUAAUCUAUGUAAAUUUACAUAUAUAUAUAUAUAUAUAUAUAUAUAUUAUACGUGAAAAAAUAUAUCAAUAUAUGGUAUUGGUUAAGUGUUUUUAAAUGAAUUUUUCAUAAAAUUAACUGAUCACUAACUUUUUGAUAUAAAAAAUGUUAUGUUGUGUUUUUAAACUUUUUUAUUUUAUCAUUGUCUAUAAAAAUAUUUCAUAAAAUAGACGAUUUUUUUUAAUAAAUUUUCAAAUUCUGAAUAUACAUCAUUUUCAUUUUGAUAAUCGUAUAAAACGAUUUAAAUACAAAAAUUGAUAUCAUUAGUCAUAAAUUUUAAUUUAUGUAUAAUAUUUAAAAAAUUCAUUUAUUGUCUUUGAAAUAUCAUUUUUUCAUAAAUACUUCUAUAAAUAAAUAAAUAUUAAUUUACCCUAUAAAUUAAUAAAAUGUUGUAGUCCCAACAUUAUUAAUUUAUAUAAUACGAGAUGAAUUGGGAGAAUCUUGUAAAAUUACAUGUUACGAACGAUGUCACACUCUGCGAGGCUGAAUCAGCAAUAGAACUUUAUAAACAAGACAUUAAAAAAAUGUAACUUUUCAUUAUUUAUGCAACAAAAGAUUACAUGAACAUAUAGCAAAAGAUCAUGCAGUGAGUACUAUCUCUCUUAGGCUAUACUCUUACACACGCUAUGUCACAAAGCAUAAUAUAACAACACUCUAGUGUUCAAGAACCCUAACUCUGAACUUAAUCCACUCGUGUUGGCGAGAGAGAGAGACUCUAAAGAGAAAAGCCCUACAUAAAACCCAGUCGCGUAGGUCGCAAGAAAGAACAUCUAUGAAGACGAAGGAACCCAAACAGAUGAAGCAUACACGAUUCUACCUUUCCAACCUUGAAGCAACCAGUUACUGUUUUGAUCAACAUCGAAGUUUUUAUCAUACCCGUUUUCGAUUUUCAACUUCAGAUUCUGCAUCAGUUCCUUCUCAAGCGGAAGCUGUCUAAAUCCGGCUCGGAUCAGUCUCGCCUGCCACUGCUUAUAUGUCUCUGGUCUCUCCACUCUCUCCGUUCCUUCACAAGCCACAACAUUAAUAAUCUCUCUCCCAUAAAACUCUUUCUCAUACAUCAGCCUCAUCUCGUCUUCCCUCGCUAGCUUCGAGUCACACAUAUCAAACACAGCCGAGUAAUGAAACAACGCUUCUCUGAACCUCGUGACAAAGAAUGGCGCGUUGUAAUUCCCGCUUAGGAUCGCCGGGAUGAAGACAUUCGGGUUUACUUUUCUUAUCAGUUUCAAAACCGCAUCUCUCGGGCUGUUUACCAGAACGGUCUCGUCUAGAAGGUUCCUGAAACGGAAUAAAGAGUUUACAACCACAUACUCUCCUUGUCGAAGCUUUAAGUCUUCGACUUUGAUCGUUUCCCAUUUCUGAGCAAUUGCGUUGUACUCAAACGGAACAUUGUGUCGCUGACAGUAUCGAGCCAAGCGAUGACCCGUCUCCUGGACUCCUUCCGCUGGUCUAAAACCACGCUGAGGAAGCUCUAUGCCAGUAAUUCGAAGCUUAGGCGAACCACCAGGUCUGAGCGAGAGGCGAUGAAUCAGAGCAGGCCACUGAAAACCGUAAGAUAUCCCGAAAUCUAUUAUGUGGAUCGUGUUGGCGUUUGCAGUGAAACGCAUCAUGCUGUGGUUAGCAAAUAUGAUAGCAGCUUUCUUGAACGGACAGACCGACAUGUAUGUCUGGUAAGCUUUCAACAUGUCUGCUGCAGAUGUUUUCUUCGAAGAUAAAGCGGUGUAGAUCUGUGUACCAGUCCCAGCUAAGCGUGCUUCAAGACUAUUUGCAAAAUAAUGAGCCAAUCGCUCUGACCCAUUGCCUAGAGGCGAAGAAUGCUCCCGUAUCUGUCUUAGCAUUUCAUUGGCGGUUCUACGAUCAUCCACUGAUACAGCUUGUGCACAUAACACCAAAAGAGUCCUCAAAUCAGCAGUUUCUUUCUUAGAGUCAUUACUAUGAUUACUAGUAGUUGAUUUCUUCCCACGAAUCUUUGCUCCAUUUGAUUGUGUGGUCUCGACUUUGGCGGGUUCUGUUGGAAACUUCUGGUUAAGAAUGCAUACGGGUUUCCCAGGGCCACAUACCAAGAUCUUAUCAAACAUUUCAGAAAGCUCGCUUUCCUCAACAUAAACAGCUGAUUGCUUGUUACUUCUUUCUUCGACGAAAUCUUCAUCUUCGUCGCGCCAAUGGCUUUUCUUUCCAGUCAAUCUGUUGGGAGGAGGAGCAGAGCUAUGAUGAUGCUCUGUCUCAUCUUUCUUCUCCAUCUUAACAAAAACCUCAGAACCAUUUUCCUUGGAACCCGAAUUCUUAGGGAUGUAACUAUCCACAUCAAUAAAGAGCUGAGAAGAUUUAGGAAGGAACUUACUAGCUUCCUCCACCCCUCUCUUGAACUGCAUAGCCAAUUCACUAUCAUUAAACAUAUUCGAAACCAAAUCACCGCCAAAACCUGAACCGUAAACCGCAGUAUUACCACCACCACCGGUGACACUGUUGGACCUAGAAGUGGACUGGAAAACAAAAUUACUCGGCAUAGGUGUAUGUAACCAGGAAGGUCUAUUCUCCAAACCAUCAACACUCCAGUGUGAAUCAGAAGAAGUAGUGGUAGUGGUGCUAGCGUAAUCACUAAAAGCACCACCUGAACAAGAACCGUCAGGGCUAUCAGUAGCCAAUCUCUCAGGAUGGUCCACAGAACCAGAAGAAGAAGAAGGGUAUUUCUCACCGAGAGCCUCAUAGAGAGAUUUCUCAGCAGCUUGAAGAGCCAAGGCGUCGUGAAACAUACAAGGCUUCUCUUCCAUGUCCUCUUCCAUAAGAACUUGGCUUAUAUACUUCAAAACCGAAUCAGAGAAAUCAGCGUCAUCAGAUGGAGAUGAUAACAGAUCUCCUGAUGCAGCUUCGUUGUUGUUGUAGUUCUGGGAGGGAUAUGCCUCUGGAGGAUCCAAGGAUGUGAAAUCUAAGUCAUCUAGAUAGAAUCCAUUAGCUAAACCUAAGGUUUGGUUUGGGGGAGGCAAAUCAAAGUCCUUAUUGAAAUCGAACUCGUCCAUGGAUCCAUCCGGAUAAGAACCCAUGGGAUCCAAAAAACCAGAGUCGGUAAUAUCUAAUAAAGGUCGAAUCUUUCUUUAUUCCUGAUCAAUCACCAAAACCAAAAACAGAGCACUAAAGAAGAUGAGAAGAAAAGAGAGUAAGAAUUACAAAAGAAGGGAGAUUUGAGAGAAGAAAGCGUACCUCUUUGUGGAUUCGGCAACAAGAUGACAAAGAAGAACCUUGAGCAAGAGGAAAAAGGUCUCUGUGUUACUGUGUACGUGGUGGAGAGAGAGAGAGACUACUACAGAGAGAAAGAGAAGAACGAUGAAGCUGAAAUGAGGAGAGAGAUAAGUACUAAUUAAUUUGUUUUACUCUCUCUAUAGAGAUAAUAUAAAAGAAUAUGCCUUUCUGGUUUUUUCUUUUCUUUUUCUUUUAAAUUUUAACUAUUUUACUCAGAAAUAAUAAGUCGAUCAGGCAACUUCUUGGGUCUAUCUGAUGUCUGAAAAGAAUCCUUCCGAAUCAAGACAAAUUUCAAUUUUUCUAUUUACAUUGUUUUUACUUUUACUGGGUACUGAUAUUUAUGGUAUUAUUUUUCUAACAUAAUUAGUUAUUGUUUAUUAAUAUUAUCUUGCUUAAAUAUAACUAUUUUUUAUUUUCAUUUUAUUUCACGUAUAAUAUAUAAUUUUAAAAUUAAUUAAUUCCAUAAUGUUUAGGCGCUCGCAUUUUAAAUUUUAUGAUUCUCUUUCCAAAACCGGAUUAUUUUCCAAUCUAGAAAGUACACGAAUGAAACAAUGUUACUUUCAUAGAAAGACAACGUGCUAAAUGUGCAAAACUGAUUUGAUUAUUGACUACAGAAAAUAGUUAUAGAUUUAUUUAAUAUUUUAAUAUUAACUAUAUAAACAUAAAAAUAGUUUCUACAAGUCACUCAAUGGAUUAAUCUAAAAAAUAGUUUAUUACCAAAAAAGAAAUCAAUCUAAAAAAUUGUUAGAAUUAAAAUGAAUAUGCACAAAAUGACGAACCAUACUUAGGUUUACCCCUGGGGUGAACCUUUAAAUUCACCCAACAGAUUAUAGCCAAUCGUUUUGUCAUGUCAUUAUUAAUAUUAGAGAAUUAAAAAAAAGAAACACAAUUAAAAAAAAAAAGAAAUCACAAAAUAGAUUUAGGGUUUAAGGUUUAGGGUUUAGGGUUUAGGAUUUAAGGUUUAGGGUUUAGAUUUUACAAUUAACACGAAAUUAGAUGUCGGUUUGGGUUGCCAAAUAAGUGGAUAGGGUUUAGAUUUUAUAAUUAAAACUAAAUUAGAUAUCGGUUAGAGUUUAGGGUUUAGAUUUUACAAUUGAGACGAAAUUAGAUGUCGGUUUGGGUUGCCAAAUGAGUGGUUAAAGUAUGUCACGCUUUGUAUUCGUAAUAUUCUGGGCCUUAUAUUAAAAACAGGGAGAAUAAGGGGAAUAAUUUUUUUAAAAUAAGAAGGCAACCUUGUCAAUCUCCGAAAUGGCCUAGGGAAGCAGAACAAAAGGGUGGAAGUUCAGUGACCAAUCAACCGACUGAUCGUGAGAAAACAAAAUAGUAUCCUUAUAAAAACCCGCGCGAUGGAUUGCAACGUUANNNNNNNNNNNNNNNNNNNNNNNNNNNNNNNNNNNNNNNNNNNNNNNNNNNNNNNNNNNNNNNNNNNNNNNNNNNNNNNNNNNNNNNNNNNNNNNNNNNNUUUUGUGCAAUAGCUAUCGACCACGGUUAAAAGUGGGAUCCCAAAACCUUAACCACUCAUUUGGCAACCCAAACCGACAUCUAAUUUCGUUUUAAUUGUAAAAUCUAAACCCUAAACCCUAAACCCUAAAUCUAUUUUCUGAUUUCCUAUUUUUUAAUUGUGUGUUUUUUUUAAUUUUUUAGUAUUAGUAAUGACAUGGCAAAACGAUUGGCUAUAAUCUGUUGAGUGAAUUUAAAGGUUCACCCAUGGGUAAAUCUAAGUAUGGUUCUAAAAUGACCUGAGAUUCAAAAGUCACUCUAUGCUUUGAUAAUCAUUAUACAAGUCACAUUCUAUUCUUUCAUUUUACUUUUCUUUACCAAAUCUUAUUUUUCAACGUUCCUGCUCACUAUUUUUUCGUUGACCCGACUAAGAAAAUAAUUCCAAUUGUAAAAUUCAUUCUCUCCUUUCUAAAAAAUCAUCUCAACUUUAUUAAUGCCGGAGAAAGGUUUAGAGAUACCAAAGAAAGAAAAAAAAAAUUGGAAGAAAAGAAACAGAGACUAGAAAAAACAGAAAACAAGACGAGAAUAAAUUCUGUUUUGUAAGGUCCGUCUCUUGCGAUAUAUGAUUGAUGUCGGCGUUCCUUAGUGACACUUCCACCACAAUUGUGUUGUUGCUUUCAGUUCACAAAUGAUAUAUCCCAAUCUUUAAAAUUAUUUAAAGAUAAUAAUAUUAUAGUAGUCACUAAUAAUUGAACAACUUCGACAACAAAGAUUAUGACAAUACUAGGAAGUAGCAAAUGACAAUUUUUUAAAUACUGUACUUUAAAGCAAAAUAAGACAAAAGAAAAAAGUAAGAGAUCAGAUAGAUAAACUUGGAAACGAUUUCACUGUAGCGAAUUGUCUUGUUUAACGUAUCAUUUCUUUUUUCGCUCUAAGAUUUGUAUAAAGCUUUUUUCGUCGAUUUUAUUGCCAUAUAAUCCCACACUAUCGCUCCUUAAUAUCAUGAAUUUCUUACAUUAAUUGCACCUUACUUUCACUUGCCACUAAAAGAUUGGCCUAAUCGUAGCCUCAUGAACACAUGCAAAAAAACAAUGACUGUCGUAGCCACAUAACAACGAUGCUAGCAAAAAAAGAUUACUCAUAGAUAGGUGUGGACUUUUGAGAAAGAUGAAAUAAUGAAAAUGACAUCUCCAAUUAUUUCUCUCGAUUGAACGAUGAGAUCCUAAAGAAUCUUCCAUCUUAUUCUCUAUUUUUCUAUAAGUGUCCAAAAAAGUGUGUUUUAGCCAUCGGAAAAAGUCGCAUAGGUAUUGCCACACAAUUUGGAGAAAAUUAAAAAAGGAAAAGAACAAGAAAAGAUAUUGCCACAAAAAGCCAGAGUAAAUAAUUAUUGGUACGUAUAUAUGUUAUGUUUCCAUUUCCUCUUAUCAACUCUACCUUUUUUUUUGUCAAGGAAUCUUAUCAGGAUCUCAAUUUUGCAAGGGAGCAAACGGAGGAAACCUCUUAUUUUCAGUGUUCUAAAAAGCGGUCUAGGCGGUCGCCUAGGCCCCGACUAGGCGCUAGGCUCUCAUGCGACGCCUAGAUAACCGCUUUGACCGCCUAAAAUUACAUAGAUCUUGUUUAAUGUAUUUUUUCAAUUUUAAUUAGAGUUUUAUUUAUAUAUAUAGUUAUAAAUAUUCAUAUAUUGUUUGAAUAUAAAUAUAAUUAAAUGUUUUAUCUAGUUUUUGUUUAUAAUUUCAUAAUUUUUAGUUUUAUUAGAUAUUUUAUAUAACUUUUAUAUAUGAUAUCAUAUUUAUUAUGUUUUAUGUUAUAAACGUCUAAACCGCCUAGGCUCCGAUUAGGCGUUCUAGGCGCUAGGCAUUGGGUCACCGCCCACUUAACGCCUAGCGCUUUCUUGAACACUGCUUAUUUUAACCAAGCACUGUGACAAUUACAUCGGACUUGACAUAUCUUCAUCUCUAUCUUCUUCUUCUUCUUUACCACAAUCCAUUCCUUUUUUUUUACAUUGAAUCUUCUCAAAUACAUGCAUAAAACAAAUAAACAAACAAACAAAAAAGUAUAUAUGAAUUAAAAAAUUCCAGGUUUAUCCUGCUAACGUCAAUUUUCACGUUACGAGGAUAACAUUUUUAUCCCGGCGGCCUAUAGACCAAGACUGGUCUCGAGCUGCUGGGGUCUCUCUAGCAACUGGUGUUUCCCCUGUUGCUGGGACCAGUAGGCAUGAGCCGUUAGUACCCGGUCUAAGAGCUCCUGUGGAACUGGCUCACCUCUCCUUUGUUGCGGCGAUAUUCUUGCUGUGUGCACCAACGUCUUCCAUUUGUCCUAAUAUUCACACCAAAUCAAAAGAUACAUUACUUCUUGCACAAGCAACAUAGACCUCAUUCACUGCACCUACCAGGUGAGCUGUAAGGAGAGAUUUUUAUUUUACCUUCAAAUCAACAUAAGUUCGGUGCUUAGCAUUAUCAAAAGCUCGCAAUUUUACGUCACGCCACCUGGAGAUAGAUAUGUACAGCAAUAUUAGAACUAUCUUGGACCAAUUAUUGAUGGAAAUUAAGUCUUCUACCUUGGCAAACAAUAAAAAAUGUAGUUACCUUCCGGUCCCAAGUCUCUCCACAGCUUGAACAAGGGCCUCUACUUCGGCAACAGAAAAAGGUCGACGGAUUCUACGCUGUGCCACCUCAGAUCGCUUGGUUUUCCGAGGUGGGAGUACUGUCAAAGCCUGAGCAUGUAGAGGGACAGGAUCCAAGGCUCUGGAGUAGAUGGUUUUACCCCUAUUUGGUGCAGAGGGUUUGGAGUCAAGGUCACUUUCUACAGAAUUACUCGGUUUAGCAUGCUUCCCUGGUGAUGGGAAACACCUAAUGACAAACAAGUUUUGGAUAACAUCAGAAACAGAGUUCAUCUCUACAUCAUAGAAAGAAGAAGCACACAUUGACCUAUGGAGUGAGACUGACCUUGUUAGAGUGUGAGGUACAUUACAUGGACGUGCAAAGUCAGAAUCUUCAGUAGAAAGCGGUUUUGUGGAUUGUGGAGGAUUGGGCUCAAGACAAAACCCUAAAUUAUCUGAAAGAGUGUCUAGAGAGAGUCCAGUCUGAAGAAGCAUUUUACUGUCGUCUCUAACCUUUUUUCCAUGAACAAGAACACCUAUGCGUAAUCCACCUCCAAGUAUCGAGGUCACAGCUUCCAAGACUGUCCUCUACCGAAGAGGAAGUAAAAUUUUCAUCAUUAUCCAAAAACAUGAAUGAUCCUUACCAGAAAAUUGUAAGCCAAAAAUCCAAACCUUUAGCGAACCGACAGUAGCGGUCUCAGGAAUUUCAAUGAAAAGUUCAGGAACUCUAAAUGACUUGAUCCCAAGUUUCACUAAGAAAAGCAAGAAAAAAUGAACAGAAUCAAUACAAAACUCUGAUUGAUAAAAAUAACAAAAACCUCAAUAGAAAUAAAUACCGUUAUUAGAAUCUCUUGAUGAUUGGAAUGCUGGUUGCUUCUGACAAGCUAUGGAAGAUAGAAAAGCUGAAGCUGCAAAAAACAAAGCUCAAAGUCAAUCACAAUAUCAUCAUAAUGUGAAUUUUGAAAAAUGACAAGCUUCCGAUAAUAUACCCUUUCGAGGUGAACCAGGAAGGCCUUCAUUUUUACUUGUUUCCUCGGAUUGUGAUGCUGUAUAACCAUCAAAGUAUCUUCUUUUCUUGAUUGGAUAGUUUCUCUCUGAUCUUAAGCUUUUAAGACAAUGUUUCUUGCUAUAGUAAUCAGACUUCAAGUCCAAGUCUAAACAUUUUCAGGAAAAAAAACACAUAAGUAAAACAUGACAUCGUUAAAAGUACAUAUGACUUUCCCACAAAUGGUCCAUAUGUUCACCUGAAUUAGGUACCGUUGUAUCUUUCAGCUUUGGAGGGACUUUACAAUACUUGGAAGCUAAAACUUUCCUUAUUCUUCUAUCUCCGAUACGCAGAGUUGACCUAAAUGAUUUUGUUCUGUAACAUGCUGAGAAGUUUUCGCCAUCAUCAUUUUCCUUACCGUGUAAAUCUAUAGCAUCAGAGCAUGCUGAAGGAUUUUGGGGAAUUGGUUUCCUGAAUCCACUACCUAUAUGAUUCUCAUCCUUGGCUAAAACAUUCCUUGUUAACUUUGCUUCAAAAUUUAGCCCCCCAAGCAUUGAUUUCUUAUCAUUAGACUCUGACCUAUAGCAAUCACCAUUAUUGAUCUUGGAUUCAUCAUACGCCAAUUCUUGAGUUUCAAACUUGUCCGAGGAAUCAGAAGUUAUACCAGAAGAAGAUCCAAAAUGGAACUCUUUAAGGGGACUUGGAGAUCUGUUAAAGCUUUGUAUUUCAUGAGAUUUUGGAAGAAUCUCAGAGACAAAGAAACUCCUUUCAGCAUUAUUAUUAUCAUGAUCACAAUUAGUAGUCUCUUCUUCCACCAUUAGAUUGCUGCCAUUAAGCGGUUCUUUCUUAACGGCACACUGAUCUUCAUUAUUACCAGAGGUGUUGUUACUUGAGGAAGAAGAAUUCCCACCUUCAAGCAACAGUUUUCCAGCUACUGCAGCCAACAAAUCGAAAGACGAUAUUUGAUGGUUUUCGCUUUUCUUCUUGAAAGCACUCUUCUAGCAAAACACAAACAGACACAUAUCAGAGGGUAACACUGGAACAUAUAUAUAUAACUGCUAAGAAACACACAAAAAAGUUAAGAAUCAAUGUAUUUACUCUUGGUGAUCUAGCGGCUCGAGGUGUGUGAGGCACCUCAUAGCCAUUGAAUCCAUAAUCGAGCCUCUUUUGCAACACCAUGAUUCGAAGAACAUUUCAGUCAUUCAGCAAAACGAAGGCAUUCUCACGGUCACGGAUUACAAAAUCCCUGCAGGAAAAGAAUUACAACAUAAAAAACCCCUCCAAGAGAACUAUAAACAGGAAUCGCUCGUACAUGUGACCGCGAUUCGAAUUGCAGAUCCAAUAAAACUUCAAAGAUAUCUCACCUUUUUUUUCCGGAUAGAGGAAUGCAAUAAUCUUAAGAAAAUGCACGACGAUCAGAAGAAUCAGCAGACUGAAAUCAGAAUGUUUAUCUUAUUUUCUCAUCAACCCAAUAUUUUACAGGAAAGAAAGAAUUUCUGUUUUUAUUUUUAUUUUGUUGUGGGAAAUUGAAAAACCCCUUAAUGUGGGAAAAAAGUACGGAAGGAGACAAGGGCUUAAACCCCUGGUCUUAUACGAGUAACACAGAGGACGUGUCUGAAAAAAGAAGAAGAGCGAAUAACCGGCUAUAACCAGUAAACCCCACCCUGAAGACCUGUUCUUCUUCUCCCUUCUUGGGUCACCCACCACUGUCUCACGUACUUCCUCUAGAUUCGGACACGUGGUGUCUCUGUCGGAUCGUCCGGCUUUUUUUACCACACACAAAAAUCGACAAUAACGUUGAGUCACACAUGGCAUGUAAUGUUUUUUUUUCUUUCAGUCCAAGCCAUGUCAUUCUCCUUUUUAUUUUAUAUUGUCUUUUUCAGUUUUUCUUCAAUUUUAUUAUAAGAAAAAAAUCAGUUUUUAUAAUUUUGAUUUCAUUGAAAAACAUAUUUAUUUGCUCAAUCACAUGUUGGCCAGUGAUAACUUCUAAGUAACAGAAUCCCAAAGCUAUAAACAUCACUCUUCUCUGUUCAUGUCACCAUGUGUUAGAAAUUUAUAAUCGGAAUGAUAUAUCCAUUUUACUUUUCACAUAUAACUUUUACUAUAAGCUGUAAGUUUAUUUGGUUUAAAGGGAUUUAUAUCGGUUUUGGAUUAAAAUAUAAAUGUCCAUAUGACUCAGUUAAGCGCCAAUUUGUAUUGGAAACAUGUUUACUGAUUUUCUAAUAUCCAAUCAUGCAAUAAAUUACACAGCCAACAUAUAUAACAUUGGAUAAGCAAAAGUAAUGUAACAAAUCGUAGCGUUGACAUUUUCGCUCCGUAAGAACAAAGUUGAAAUUUCAACCUAGAAACAAUGGCGAUGAUAAAUAACAUAUACUCUUUGGACGUAAAUUAUUUGUAACGGUAAAGUUGAAAGAUUUCUACUAACGCGCUUUAAUUUUGCAGUAUUGGAAAAUAAGCCGAUUAGGUGGACUAUAUAGACCACGGAAAGGAAACUGAGAGAAUUUUAGCAAGUUAUUAGCACGCGCUAAUUUUGUGGCUGGGGAAGUGUUUUCACGUGCUAGUAUGAAAUUAAUUACCAUCUGGGUCCCGCUGACUUUUAACUGUACGUGGGCCUCGGGCCUAUCUCCUUUCUAAUUUUGUACUAGCCCAUAGUAUUUCUUUUUUCCCUGAGAUUAAUACUCGUGGUAGAACAAGAAUCACUGAAGCUUACACAAUUCGAUUGAGAAAAAAAAAGUCAAACAGAAGGAAAUCGAAAAGACACACAAAUUGAGGUAAGUUUGGCAAGAUGAAAACAAGGCACUCCACAACACUGUUCGGAUAUUCUUCUUGUACAAUAGAAAACAGAGUAGUAACUUUCAAUAGCACAAGGAGAAGCUUUUAAGUAUCAACAUGCUCACCAAGCUUAAGUAUCAACAUGCACAAGGAGAAGCUUUCAAAUACAAAUUAUCAUUCAAAAAACCCAACCACUAACGUGCCUUUGGGUUUAUUUCAAUGUCUACACUUAUGCUCAGUUCCAGAGGACUCCUUAAAUCCACCUCUUGCUGGCUCCUUUGAUUUCUCCACUUUUCACAUGUGUCCAAACAUUCGUUUAGCUCAUGAACAACCUGAGACAUGUUUGGUCUCUCUUUAGAAGAAAUGUUCACACAUGACAUUGCUAAUUCAAGAACUUUCCAUGCAGAACUUGUGUCAUAAUCUUGAUGGAGGUUUGGAUCCACUAUACUUUCAAUAUCACCAUUUUCGAGUAUAGACCUGGUCCAUUCCACUAUGUUACAAUUUUCACGGGAUAAAUCAAUCACAGGUUGGCCACUGAGGAUUUCCAAUAAGACAACCCCAAAGCUAUAUACAUCACUCUUCGUGCUUAACAAGCUGGUUUUGUGGUACCUAUAAGAAAAUAUUUUAAAGAUAUGGUUCACAAAGAUUUUUCUGAAAGCAAAGAAAGAUCGAAGACAUGCAUGUUUAAAUGUACAAUGUGAUAUAAAUCCUCCACUACUUACUCAGGAUCCAGAUAUCCAAAAGUGCCAGCAACAACCGUAGAUUCAGCUUCAUUUCCUAUUAUGAAGGAUCUUGAGAGUCCGAAAUCCGCAAUUUUGGCGUCAAAUUCUUCACUCAACAGUAUAUUAGUACUUUUGACAUCUCUAUGAACUAUUUUUGGCUUGCAUCCAGUAUGCAAAUACUCAAUUCCUACCAUAUGUAAAACCUCAUAUGUUAACUAAUUAUCAUAGAUAUGGAGUUUAAUUAAGAGAGAAUUUAAAUAUAUCAGCUCAAACUAUAACAAUAUUUCUACACACCUAUGGCGGAUUCAAGAGCUAUUUGAAGUCUUAUCGGCCAGCUCAAAACAGAACCACCAGGUUUUCCUGCAAUAACAACCAAGUGGCUUAUAAUCUUCAAGAAGUUGGUUUAAAAGAGAACCUAUAAUUGCUGUAUCAAAUUUUCAUGUGUUUAAUUACCUGAGAGAUGCUCUUUUAAGUUUCCCUUUCCCAUUAACUCGUAGAUGAGAGCUAAGCCAUUUUCAUCAUCACAAUAACCAAUGAGGCUUACUAAUUUUUCAUGGUGAACUCUCAAAAGUAGUUCCACCUAACAAUCAAGGACAUAAAAAAAAAAGUGUAACUCAUUGAUCCAUGAUCUCAAACAUCGACCUACUUUAGUAGAAUUUUUUUAAUAUAAAUACCUCUGUUUUGAAUUCUUUGUAGCCCUGAGCUGAUGAAUGAGAGAGAACUUUAACAGCUGCUUGUUCAUUAUUUAAAAAACCUUGAUAGACAACACCGAACCCUCCUUUACCAAGAACAACUUGAAAGUUAUUUGUCAUUUCCUUAACGUCAGAGUAAGUAAAUCUUCUAUUUUUCGACUUGAAGGAUGAGCGUCUAACUGCAUAGAAAAUUUCAACAGAGUUCCAUGAGAGUUUACAAUAUGGGCUUAUAUUUUUCUAUCUGUUAUUCUCUAUUAAGUACCUUUCCCAGCAGAUGGCUUUCUCUUUCUUAUAACAAAUAUGAGAACUAACACAAGUAUGAUAAUGGCAAGACACACAAAUCAUAUUUUCGUCAACCCUACAGAAUAAAUAACAUUAGUGGAUUACAUAGUAAAUUAAUAAAGAUCAUCUCAAAAAGAAAUCUUACAAUAGCUUUAAUCCUUCCUUUUUUCUAUCAAGAAGGGCUUGAGGAACCAAACCGCUAAGUUUGUUUCCACUUAAGUUUCUGUAGAAAAAUAAAGAUCAUCUAGUUAAUAUAUGUAUAACAUUCUAAUAAAAACGGCUUAUUGUGCUUUCAACAACUUACAUGACCAACAAAGACUUCAUCUUGGCUAGAAAUUCAGGCACUUCACCAGUCAAGUUGUUUUGGGACAAGUCCCUGUAGUUACAUCAAAUAUUGUUAACGAAUUUUUUGAAUACAUCUUCAUUUUAUUAUAGAGAUACGUACAGUUCUUGAAGUUGAGUUAGAUUUUGUAUGCUAGGUGAUAUAACUCCAUUUAAUCCACUUGAAGACAAAUCUCUAUUUGGAUGAUUCAAGACAUAUCACAUCAGAUACAAUAAUCAAGGGCUAAAGUUUUGCUAACAAGAUUGAGUUAGAAUGCUCUCACAAUUUCACGAUUCUUGGUGGUGUGGACACAUCAAUUACGUUGCAGCUUAAGCCAGUCCACGAAAAUUGUUUAGGGACACAUGGAUCACCCUGCCAGCUGAUUCUGUUCAAUCCAUAAGUAGCUUGAAUCUUCUUUAGAGCAAUGACUGAAACAUGGUGGAAAAUAGCAAGAAUUGACACGGUGUAAUAAGCUAUAUAUAUGCAUAAAUAUUGUGCAAGCCAACAUACCAUCAUUUUGAUUUGUUUCUGAUUGUGGAAACUCAAUGACCGUGAAAAUUUCGAAAGCAUUCAUCAAGGGUGGAAGCGUCGAUCUCGGAGUUUUUAUAAGCUGCACACGACAAAAUCCUCCCUCGCAUGUCAGUGGUACAUCGUUGAACAAAAUCUGUGCUUCAAACUUGGUAGGACUGAACGGAUCGAAAUGAACUUUAUCAUUUGCCACAACUUCGAAUUCUCUAGUUUCAUUGGCCGGGACGUCCGUGAUCUCAGCCGUGUAAAUAUAACCAUAAACUUGGUCAGUAGCCGUCUCCAAACUCCAGGUAAUGGUCAUUGGAUCACUGGCAUUAGCCGGCAUGGCGCCGGUCCUAAGUACAUCUUGUGGUGGGUCAUAGCCACCUAUAGAAUCAAUAACGUGGUGGGUUGUGUUUAUAUGCGUCCAUUCUGGUAAUAUCGACAGCAUCCAAAUUCUAUCAUGCACAUCUUGGGGAUAACUGCCAAAAUCAAAGUAUAUAUUUACUUUACAUAAGCUUAUAACAAAAAUUAAUACGUAUAAUCAUGUUUUAUACUAGAUGGCUUAAAUGACAUGAAUAUCCAACUUUCUACAUGUUUUUUUUUUUUUGGAGAUUAGUGUUUCUGCUCAUUAAUUAUCUACUUUGGUUAUUAAUAAAAAAGAAUAAGGUGAAAAUGAGGUACCGUAUAAAGUUGUUUGAAUCGGUGAAAUAGAACCGGUUAUAACUCCUCAAGGAACCGGUUUGAGCAAUAUAAGUAUCAUAUAGAAAGGGUCUCAAUUCUAUGGAAGAUAUAAUUGGUGUACUCGUCCCUGUCUUGACGAGACAUAUCUCCAAGAUGUUAGACCUUGUGAUGUGAAUGAUCUCCUCGAGAACUCCAUCACCUGACUUCCCCAUAUCUAUGGUUGUCCAAAUAUUAGGACCAAGAUAGAGGUCGAAUCUUGGAGACAUGUUAAGCCCGUCAUAGUUUCCAUAUCAGAACAUAGCCCUGAUUAGAUAAUUUGUGUCUUGCGUGACAUUUAGACUGUAACAAUUUCGAAUUCCAUCGGGAAAGUAUCUCAAAACCGUAUAUGGCUUCCUGAGUUUCAUAACCAAGUCUUUUUGGACAUUACCAGUUUUUCCUCCUUGGAUGAAAUUUGCAUCGGAUAUGUACGUCAGAUUGCUAUUUGCUUCGUUGUAAGGAGACUCAUUAGAAGGUAUCCACAAUCCAAACUGAUGAAUCCUGGUAAGACCGAAAACAGAGAGGUAUAUAUUGUUUUUCUUAUAUAAAGUUCUAUCUCAAAAAAAAACUUAGAAUGGUUUAUUGCCAAAAUUAUUGUUAAAAAAAAAAUAUGAUAAAAAAAACCUUGUUGAUUCUGAGAUUGAACAAGAUGUAUGAUGGAUAAAGUGGCACACGCAGCAAACAGAAGCUUGGUGUGAGUCUCCAUUUUUGAUGAUUUCUGGGUUCACAACUAACAAAACUACUACCAAAAGUUUCGAAACAUAAUAAAGCCAUGCCCAUGCAUAUCUUAUAUAUAUAUAUAUAUAUAUAUUUCUAAUACAAAUGGAGAAAAUUUAGUGUUAUAAAGCUGCAAAUGGAGUUCAUUAAUCAUGGUGGCAACUAAUUUUAAAAAAAAAACUAAAUUUUUUUGCCAAGGUUUUAUCUAGCGAAUAAGACUAGAGCGAUUAAUAGCUAACCACUGAUAUUAGUGAUAUAAUAUCCAUAUAAAUAAAUCAAGACAUUAGAGGUUGAUUAUAAAAUAAUAAGCUAACCAAUUAUAUAUACACUCUACAUUUGGAAAAAUCUCGAUUAUUUUUUCACUUUUGCUUAUAUUCGUGGUUUGAUUCUGACACGAUCGGUGACUUUGCCAUAUAUGAUGACAUCCUUCACACACACGGUAUUAACCAAUUAGAAUCAAUCAUUUCUAAUUCCACUUGUAAACUUUUAUUAUAAAAUUUAAACGUGACACACUUGUAAGAUUCAAUAAUUCCACUUGAGAAAAGUCUUAGCUUCUUACCAUAAUUAAUCCUAUUUGACAAAUUAUUUCGGAUUUUGGUCAGAUAAUCGGUCUAACACAAAUACACGUGGCUUAUUGUCAUUGGUAUAAGCACGUUGACAUUUUUCCCAUUAUGAUCCGUCCCCACCAGCAAGUAAAAUUCAAUUCUUCAAUAAUUCAUCCGUUUUCUAUAUCCAAAGUUUUGAUUUGGCAUGUUUUAUAUUGCAAGUACAUUGUUAAGUUCGUAAUUCUGUUUUUUUUUUUUUUUUUGAACAGAGGUAGAAAAAUGAAAAACCUCCGUGGACUUUUGUUGGCCUUCCUAAUUUUGUCUUUUGGCAUUUCCGAUUUUCCUCAAGCACAAGAUCAACAAGGUACAACUUUUUUUUUUGUUUCAGGUUUUCUUCUUUUAACUUUCUAAACAUGUUUCCUUCCAAAAUCUAGACAUCAAUUUAGUUUGGAAACUUAAAAAAAUUUCCAAAUUAUUUCUUUGUUUUUUCUUGUCUUAUCAGGAUUCAUCAGUUUGGAUUGCGGAUUGCAAGCCAAUGAGUCUCCUUAUACUGAACCAAUAACAAGGUUAACAUUCAGAUCCGACGCCGAUUUCAUCAAAAGUGGAAAAAGCGGCAAGAUUCAAAAUGUUCCGGGUAUGGAGUAUAUAAAGCCCUACACGGUAUUGAGAUAUUUUCCGGAUGGAGUAAGAAACUGCUAUACUCUUAGCGUCAUACCAGACACAAACUAUCUGAUCGUAGCCAUGUUUACUUAUGGAAACUACGAUAAUCUUAAUACACACCCAAAGUUCGACCUUUAUCUUGGUCCAAAUAUAUGGACCACGGUCGAUUUGCAAAGAAAUGUAAACGGAAAAAGGGCGGAAAUCAUUCAUGUACCAAGGUCAACUUCUUUGCAAAUUUGUCUUGUUAAGACGGGAACAACUACGCCGCUAAUAUCAGCUUUAGAACUACGACCAUUGAGAAAUGGUACUUAUAUCCCUCAAUCUGGCUCCCUCAAGACAUUGUUCCGCGUCUAUUUUACUGAUUCCAAAGACACUGUUCGGUAAGCCAACUCCAAACCAAUUGGUAAUGAAUAGAUUAAUGACUCAUAUUCUUUAUAUAUUACCGCUAGAUUCUUUCUCAUUUAUGAGUUGAAUUACCUAACAACGUAACUUUGCUAAAUAUGAUCUCUUCAGGUACCCAGAAGAUGUCCAUGAUCGGCUUUGGAGUCCAUUCUUCAUGCCGGAAUGGAAACUAUUAAGAACAAGUCUCACAGUCAACACUUCUGAUGAUAACGGCUAUGACAUACCAGAAGAUGUAGUGGUUACGGCAGCCACACCUGCAAAUGUGAGUUCACCAUUAACCAUUUCUUGGAAUUUGGAAACACCUGACGACUUAGUUUAUGCAUACCUCCACACCGCCGAGAUCCAAUCCUUAAGGGACAACGAUACCAGAGAAUUUAACAUUAGCGCAGGUCAUGAUGUUAACUACGGACCUGUUAGUCCUGACGAGUUUCUAGUAGGUACUUUAUACAACACAUCACCAGUUAAAUGUGAAGGAGGGACAUGCCGUUUGCAACUAAUAAGAACUCCUAAAUCAACUCUCCCUCCCCUCCUUAGUGCUAUUGAGGCUUUUAUAACAGUGGAGUUUCCGCAGUCCGAAACUAAUGCAAACGAGGGUAUGUCAGUAAAAUGUGAGUAUAUGACUUUGUUGUAUAUAUACUUUUAAGUGUUUUCAUUUUGUUAUUUUGUUAGUCAUUGCUAUCAAGAGCAUAGAAACAAGCUAUCAAUUAAGUAGAAUUAGUUGGCAAGGAGAUCCAUGUGUUCCUCAACAAUUCUUGUGGGAUGGUCUUACCUGCGAGUACACCAAUAUGUCUACACCACCAAGAAUCCAUUCCUUGUACGUGCCAUGGCCAUUCGUAACACUAAAACAGUUUUUGUUAAGUUCUGCGUUUCUUCAUAUCUUACACUUUAUAUGUGUGUAAUGAUCUUUAAUUACCACCAGAGACUUGUCCUCAAGUGAACUAACUGGAAUUAUAGUUCCUGCGAUCCAAAAUCUUACGGAGCUUCAAAAAUUGUAAGUAUGAACACAUUGCCAAUUUAUUUAUCAAGGCCAAACAUGUACUCUGUUUUACCUGAAUACUCUGUUUUGCAAAUGAUAGGGACUUGUCAAAUAAUAAUUUAACAGGUGGAGUACCUGAAUUUCUAGCCAAAAUGAAAUCAUUGUUAGUCAUGUAAGUUACUUGGUCAGCCAUAUGAAUCACAUUGCCAAUUUAUUUUCCAAGUCUGUUGAUGUUUAUUUAACUUUCUGUCAUUUUUACCUAGGCAGAAACUUGAGCGGAAACAAUCUUAGUGGUUCAGUCCCUCAAGCUCUUAUCGAUAAAGUGAAAAAGGGGUUGAAAUUGAAGUAAGAUCUUCUCAAUUAUAUUUUGUCAUUCAAUAGUUGAUGGUCAUUGAAAUAUGAUGUCUUAAUUUACAGUAUGUCUUCACUAACACUUAAUUAGCUUGUUUACAAUACUAGCAUUGAAGGAAAUCCAAACCUUUGUUCUUCCAGCUCAUGCAACAAAAAGAAAAAUAGCAUCAUGUUACCAGUUGUUGCAUCACUUGCUUCUUUGGCUGCUUUAAUAGCAAUGAUCGCUCUGCUUUUUGUUUGUAUUAAGAGACGUCCAUCGAGCGGAAAAGGUAUCUGUAACAAAUACAUCAAACCAGAAACAUUAGUGUAUGCAUACAUAAUUAUAUUGUGAUUUCUAAUUAUUUGUGUAUGGUUCUAGGUCUAUCACCAAGCCAACAAUCAAUAGAAACAAAAAAGAGAAGAUAUACAUACGCCGAAGUUCUUGCGAUGACAAAGAACUUUGAAAGAGUUUUGGGUAAAGGAGGAUUUGGGAUGGUGUAUCAUGGUUAUAUAAGUGGUACCGAAGAAGUAGCGGUUAAGUUACUCUCUCCAUCAUCAGCUCAAGGCUAUAAAGAGUUCAAAACAGAGGUUUUUUUGGCACCAUUAUUAAUUUUCAUUCACUUUGUAAGGCUAAGUUGAUGUAUAUUAUAUUGUACAUAUUUGGAUAGGUAGAACUUCUUCUAAGGGUUUACCACACAAAUCUGGUAAGUCUUGUUGGAUACUGUGAUGAAAAAGAUCACUUGGCCCUUAUCUACCAGUACAUGGCCAAUGGCGAUUUGAAAAAACAUUUGUCAGGUAACACAUAUUCUCUCAUGCAUAUAUCAUGAUGGAAAUUAUGCACCGUGUUGAUAUAUGACAUUCAUGUCUAUUUUAAUACAUGCAGGUAGCUCCAUUAUUAGCUGGGUUGAUAGACUAAACAUAGCUGUUGAUGCCGCGUUAGGUUAGUCAUUCUCAUUUCCUUUUUAACACCAGUUUGACCAAACUUUCUAUUGAUUUAUUAAACAAAAAUGAAUUUUGGAGACAGGGUUGGAGUACUUGCAUAUUGGUUGCAAACCGCUGAUAGUUCAUAGAGAUGUAAAAAGUUCUAACAUACUAUUGGACGAUCAAUUACAAGCCAAGCUUGCAGAUUUUGGGCUUUCUAGAUCUUUUCCAAUUGGAGAUGAAACUCAUGUGUCUACACGUGUUGCUGGUACAUUUGGAUACCUUGAUCAUGAGUAAGUAUUUUGACUUCUUCAUUUCGUGUACCGGUUAAAACAAAUUAGUUAUAAUAAUUUCGACUUGCAGAUACUACCAAACAAAUAGGUUGUCUGAGAAGAGUGAUGUCUACAGUUUUGGUGUUGUACUGCUAGAAAUUAUCACAAACAAAUCCGUUAUCGAUCAUGACCGUGACAUGCCUCACAUAGCAGAAUGGGUGAAAUUUAUGCUUACUAGAGGAGACAUUAGCAAUAUAAUUGACCCUAAACUUGAAGGGGUGUAUGACUCUGCUUCUGCAUGGAAAGCUCUUGAAUUAGCAAUGACAUGCGUGAAUCCUUCUUCCUCAAAAAGGCCCAACAUGUCUCAUGUUGUUCAUGAGCUAAAGGAUUGUCUGAUAUCUGAAAACAAGAGGACGGGAGACAUAGACACAACGAGAUCCAUCGACAUUAACUUAAGCUUUGGUACAGAUUUGAACCCCAAGGCACGUUAGCCUUUACUCUUCACUUUGCAGCAUUCAUAACAAGCAGAUAUGUGAACUAACUUAUCAUUAUGUUGAUGAAUCCUCAUGUUACAAAGAUCAAAAUUAAAUGUUUGUCGUAGUGUAAUGAGAGAUGAACUGUAUCAAAUCUUACAUUAACAGAGACAAAAACUGUACAUCCAGAUUCCGUAGACAGGUCAUGAUAUAGGAACUUAAUGUCCUGCAAAUGUUUUAUCAAAAUACAGACACAGGACGUGUUUAUACUUACUUCAGACAUACAGUGGUGAGGCUGAUGGGCGAGGAUAAGCAACAACUGUACUGCCCACAGCAGUCUGUCGAGCAAAACCUGCAUUUGCUUUUUUGCUGACAACACUGUCACUUCUCCUACGCAUCCUUCUCUCUGUUCUAUCCAUAUUUCCCCCUAUUGCAGCAUUUAAAGACUGAAUGUGUUCGAGGUGCGAAACAACCUCGCUCAUGUUUGGUCUCAGCUUAAUCUCUGUGGUGAGACAUCUCAGAGACAGAGUAGCCACUUUACAUGCUUCUUCCAUAGAGUACUGGUCCUGAAGACGAUUAUCGAUGACUCUGAAUAUCUUCCUUUUGUUUACGAGGUAUGGUUUAGCCCACUCCACAAGGUUCCUCUCUCCGGAUGGACGGUUCUUGUCCACGGCUCGACGACCAGACAACAGCUCCAGAAGGACAACCCCAAAGCUAUACACAUCACUCUUUGUUGUUAGAUGACCUAAGGAAAAUGCAAAGUGAUCAUUCAUAAGAAGAAGCCAAUUCCGGAAAACAAAGAUUUGACCAAAAAGAAUCUGAGACUUACCGGUUGCAAGGUAUUCGGGAGCUGCAUAUCCGUGCGUACCCAUGACCCGUGUAGAGACAUGACUUUUAUCACCUAUUGGCCCAUCCUUGGCCAACCCAAAAUCAGAAAGCUUUGCGUUGUACUCCUGCGAUCAUGUACCAGAAAUUUUCCAUCAUAAAGCUUAAAACUUUUGCAGUAGUAUCAUGGCAAUCAUAUCAAAAAUGAGUAUAUUUCAAAAUACCGAGUCAAGAAGGAUAUUAGAAGUCUUGAAAUCUCGGUAUAUCACUCUAGUCUCGGAACUGUGAAGAAAAGCAAGGCCCUUUGCAGCACCAAGAGCAACUUUCAACCGGAGUUUCCAAGAUAACGGUUGGAAGUACAAACCCCCUGCAACCCAAGAAAAACAAACCUGAAUAUUCAUAUCAUAAAAAGCUUUAAGUUUGACCUCAGCCUGGGAUUAGACUGAAGAGGAAGGACAACAUACUUCUAAAAAGAUGAUUCUCCAAGCUACCCCGAGGCAUGAACUCGUAAACAAGAAGACGGUGCUCAUCCUCUAAGCAAUAACCGAUCAGCUUCACAAGGUGACGAUGAGAAAACUGACCAAGGUAAUUCACUUCAGCCUGAAAAAUCAUCCAAACAGAAAACAAUCAUUAAGAUUAAGAACACAAAAGAACCAAAAUUGGCAUAUCUUAACUUAUUUAUUUAGCAUAUUUACCAGCCACUCCUGGUGACCUUGCCAACCAUCUUGGUUAAGCUUUUUGACGGCAAUAACCAAACCAGUGCCUGGUCUUGAGGCAGUGAGAGACUUCUCAUCAAUCCAUCCUUUGAACACACAACCGAAUCCACCUUCACCAAGCACACUGUCUGGUCUGAAAUUCCUGGUUGCGGAUUUAAGGUCAGCAAAGCUAAAACUCUUGAGGUUUGGAGACUGUAAGAUCUCACCCUCAGUUCGAGGGCUUGGUCUUACAGACACAGACGAACCCUUGCUCCCAAGACUUGCAGUAUCUUUGGCGUCAUACUUCGGACUCGCCCCUAAACCAACCAAACAACAACAAAAAGUAUUAGUUUCGUUAGAUUAAUCCAAAUUUUGGAAAAGAGUAGUUAUACAUUCGAAUCCAAUUUGACAAAAACACCAAAAACCCUAACCACAGAUAGAAAAAAAUCAAAACUUUUAAGGUAAUGAAACAACAAUUCUAAGUACUCACAGAAUAACAGAGAAAUAUAAACCACAACAAGAUUCCUACGAGAAGUCUCAUAGUUCAUGAUAGGAAAAAGCAUUAUAAUUUGAAGUAAAUGUGUUUUACCUGAGCUCUCAGCUUUGACCUGAGCACUCAAGCAAAUCCCCAUGAUUGAGUGAUUUCAGAGAGAGGGAACCAAAUUGGACACGCUUCUGCAAUCUUCUCACUAUAUAUCACACUUGAAGAUAAGAAAAAGGUAGAAACUUUAAAUCAAUGGAAGCUGGAAAGAUAAGAAAAAAGGUGAGAAGGAAAUCAAAUUGUUAAAGGAAAAGAUUUGACAACUUGUAUCACCCCCAAAAAUGUAUGCACGCUUUAAAGCAUAUGACCAAGUUCAUCAAAUCUCUUUUGCCGAUUUAAGUAACCUAACAACCAACAAAUGAAGAAAGAAAGACAAAUUCUUCUUACUCACCUUUUUUAUUUUCUUUGUUCUGAGCCAAGAGAUAGAGAAGAGAGUGUGUGAAGAAAAGCGUUGUAGUUGGGUGGUAGCAUUAAUGGCGGAUCGGUCCCGCCUUUCUCUGUUUCUCUUUCUAUCGGAAAAUCAAAAAUUUCUCUCCUUUUUUAUUUAUUAACGUUUCGAUUUACUUGAUUUUGUCAUUUCUCUCAAUCGUUUUCGUUUUGGCCUUUUUGGUACUACAAAAAAGAUAUGAUGACGAUGAAGUCGGAAAAGAUUAGACUUCACAGAAGCGUGUUCAAUCGCUCUCAGCCGUUGGAUCUGACGUUAACAUUGUGUCGUGGUUCUCCAUGUUAAGCUCCAGCUAGUGGACUUAGGCUUGGCUCGGUUCGGCUCACUUAUCGUUAUUGAAAAACCAGAGUGUCUUGAAAAUUCGGAUUAGUAUAUGUCUACAAAAUUUAAUGAACUUGUUGUAGCUAUGCUAAAAGAAAAAAGAACCAUUUAUUCAUAUUUUUCUACAUAAUUAGUAUUCUUUGCAUAUGUCAAAAAAAGAAACUAUUGUAUUUCUUGCAUGAUGGAAUGAGACAAUGUCCGUGAGUCUUAAGAGCAUCUUUCCAGCUACACCCUACGUACGUUGGUUCAUUCAUUCACAUUAUUUUUAUAGGAUCUUCUUCUUUUUUUUUUUGUGUAUCAUGAAUGGGAUACUAUCAUUGAUGGUUAACCUCAACAUGUGUGUGAUGGUUCGUUGAAAUUUGAAUAAAAUACAAAUCUUAAUUCAUCGAGGGACCUGGGCCCGUUCAUUUGAGGUCUCCUUCGAUACGAAUUUACAUAUAGUAUUAAAUAAUCCAGAGAGAAGACCGACAAAGAUUAUCAUUGACUCGUUGGUUAGUCCUACACUUUUAAGUAAAUUGACUAACGCAACUCCAAUUAUCUUUUCGCAACUCCAAUGACCAAUCAAAUCUCUUUUCGCCUUUUCUCGCUUUCUAUUUUCUUUUUCUUUUAAAUUUUGACCAUUGAAAAUCUAUUUGCCUUUCUAAUCUAACUGUUAAAUAUUUUAAGAUCGAGAUUUUAGUCAGAUUUUACCAGUUCUCCCCCGAAUUUGAUUGCUAAUUUGCUAUACAUACUAUUAGAAUAUAAAUUUAAAUUAUGGAAACUUGAGUUAAGGUAGAAAACGUUUCUACACCAGAAUAUAAUUAUACAUACAGUGACUUUAUUAAAUCAUUCAAGCAGGGGAUGUAGCUCAGAUGGUAGAGAUUUGCUUAGCAUGUGAGAGGUAUGGGGAUCGAUACCCCGCAUCUCCAUCUUAGUUUGGCUUUUUGUUCUUAAGGAUUGUUACAUCCUUUAUAUACUAUUCAAAGAUCUUAAUCCCAAGCAAUAUGGACAUUCUAAUAACUUUGAAAACAAUGAUAAAUUGUGAUGGAGAUGCGGUGAUAAAAAAAAAAAAAAGAUUUUUGAAUAGCCAUUAUAAAUUGAUAAAUACUUUAUUACGAUUUUAAUAUAAAACUAUUUGAUGUUGUAUUUUCUAAAAAAUAAUUGUUAUCCAAGAAAAAAAGAGAGUAUUUAUAUCCGGUAGUGAUGAUAUACAGAAUUUAGUGCCAUACAAAUAUUUAUUUUGAAAUAAUGUCUAACUAUAAAGAGUUACAAACUCCCAAUAAUUUUUUGAAGAAACGAACAAGUUGUUCUAUAUAAUUGACGGGAGAACAUGGCAUAGACUCUUUUUCCAUUAUUUUAUAAAUAUGUAAAUCAACCGUCAGACUAUUUGUUUUGUUUAUAUAUAAUUAUAGAUGGUUUGGUGGUAGUCCAUGAAACAAAAAACAGAGAAAAAGAGUUUUGAUGUAUUUUACCAUUUGUCUGAUUGGAUGUGACAGUGUGAACGAAUAUUUGACGGUUUGACUUUUGCUAGUCUGACCCAUCGGAAGGACCCCAGAGAGACAAGGGUCCAAUGUCCACGCAAAAGCAUGUCCGCCACGUGGUGCCGCGUCGGUAAAAAGCUGCUUAUUUUCACGGCUCAAUCAACCAACGUACGCGGCUAGCUCAGCUCCCUUCGAGCCCGUGACCUAGUUAGUAAGUUGGUAACUGAAAAUCCCGCAACAGCAUUUCCCAUAGCCAAUAUACCUCCACUGUUGAAUCAUGUUGCUCACGAAACCUCUCUUACUACUUUUUGGCCCAUAUGAACUUACCAAUUUUUUCUUUCUGUUUUCAGGCCUGGCCCAAAUUAGCCCAGGAAUCUUCUUCCUUGACCAUGGCAAAUUGGCAAGUGACUCAAAUUUUUACAACGGUGAUAAACGAACGACGCCGAUGCAAUCUGCGAUGUAUAGUUAACUAUACUUUUAGUCUUUUACAAACAUCUUCUUAAACCCACAAGUCACUAUCAUCCAAUCAAAUAAAAAAACUGGACCAGACUUGAUUGAGUCAGGGCUUAUAUUGUUCAACAAGUUUCAACAAACUGUAUGACUCAGCAUCUGGCCUAGCUCCGCCUAGAACCAUCCUCUUGAACAGAUUAGGGUCAUACACUUUAGCCUUCACAUAAGCUUUGAACAGAGCGUUGUACACAAACGCAUACCUAUUAUACUUUGCAUUCUUCACCUCUUCAAACAGUUUCUCUGAGUUCUCAACAUCACCUUUCUCUGCAAAACACUCGAUGAUCGAUAGAGUCGUUUCCAGCCACGGCGUUGAGCUUCUUAUGCUAUUGCUCGUCUUUAGAUUCGAACCCAUUUCAAUGUUUUUGAGAGCUUCCUUCAUCAGUUUGGCUUUAGCACAUCCUAGAGCAAGAUGUCUAUACGUUAUGGAAUUAGGCUUAAACCCGUCUCCCAUCAUCUCGCGGAAUACACCUAUUGCCUUCUCUAUCAAACCGUCUUUGCAGUAUACCGAGAGCAGAGAGUUGAAUUGCUCAGUUUCUUUGAGUCCUCUUACGUUUUUCAUCUCUAACCAGAGCUCUUCCGCUCUAUCAAGGUUCCCUACUUGCGCAAAAGCUUCAGUUGCCAGUAAGUAACUCUUGGAUCUAACAUGAUGAAACCCUCUGAUGACAUUCCACGUUCUCACUAGCUCCUUUUCUUUCCCUAAACGCCCAUAUAGAAUCAUCAAUAUAUCUAAGGUCGACCAAUUAUUCCCCGUGACAGAUUUUUCUAUUUCCUCGGUAUAGGCUUCCGCAACUGUAUACAACCUCGCAACAGCAUGUGCCAUAGCCAAUAUACAGUAAGAAACCUCAUUCGGCUCAACUCCAGCUUUCUUCAUACCAUCAAAGGCCUUAAGCACCCCGUCAAUGUUAUGUUCAUUAGCCUCAAGCUUCAUCAAGAUAUGAUAUGUUGAGACAUGAGGAGUGGCCUUGUCAGCUUUCAUGAGCGCAAGGUCUUUCGCGAUUAGCUUUCUUCGUCCGGGAGCUGAGUUGCGAAUUAUAAGACGGUUGUAGACCAAAUGGGAUGUACGAUAGCCGAGUUCCCUCAUCUUCUUCAUAUACUCUAGUGCAAGCCUUAUGACACCUUGGUCUAAACAAGCAAUCACAAGGUUGUUGUAAAGAAGCUCGUUCUGAAACUCUUGAGGGACACGGGUAAAAAGCUUUUCGCCUUGCGAGACGCCAUGAAGUUUGACUGUAAAUUCCAGCAAGUAGGAGUAUUCUAGCUCACCGGGACGGUAAGGUCUUUCCCUGAUUAUCCACUCCAUCAACUGAACCCAACAUAUCAAAAAUGUUUCAGCUCACAUUCAAGAGUAUCUUCAUAUAAACAAAAAGAAACUCAUUUCGACUAAGUAGCAUUCUCAUUUCAGUUCAAUUGGCAAAACCACAUUGAUACAACAAUCCGAGUGCUAUGGAGAGAAGAGAGAAUCAAGUAAGAAUUCGAACCUCAAGGGCACGUUUGUUUCGUCCGAGCUUCCUCAAUCGAUUAAUAGCGUGAUAAACAUCUCCACCAUGAACUGGAAACCCAUCACCCAUCCAGCUCUGUAACGCAGACCCAACAGUUACGCCCUUUGGGAGCUUCUCGAUUCUCACAGACAAACACUUGUUGGGCUCUUCUUCUUCUACAUCCGACCCGAGACAUGAUGUCUCUUCCGGAGAUUUCUUCGAAGAGAUUAGGGUAGUGAGAAAACUUGAAGCUUGGAAAUUAGUUUGAUUCACCGCAAGCGAAGAUGGCACGCAAGUUGUUCGACGUAUUGCCUGACCGAAACAUUCUCGCUGCCUCACCAACGCAAUUAUAGAUCUCAUUUCUUCUUCUUUUUGGGACCUUACUGGCCCGUAAACUUUCAACACUUAAGGCCCGAUAAGUAAGUACAUGGUUUACUUAUAUAAUACAUUUUUAACUAAACUCUUCACUUAAAAUCUCUUCUUUUAAUUAAUUAAUUAAAUUUUAGUAUUUCGUUAGAUUUUUAAAUUAAUUAAUUAAAAUAUUUACCUAAAUUGUUCAUGAUUAAUUAGCUGAUUGAGCUUAUAUAUAUAUAUAUAUAUAUCCUUUUUUUUUGUGCAAAUAUAUAUAUAUAUAUAUAUAUCCUAAAUAAGAAAAUAAUAUAAACAGAGGAGCUAGACAUAGACAAAUCUUUUUUUUUGGUUACAGACAUAGACAAAUCUUAAUAGUCACAAAAGUCAAUACACAUAAAUAUUUUUUUACGUUGAAUAUGAAAACAUUACAUAAUCACACCAUCACCACCACAUACAGGAAAAUACAAAGCUGGAAAAAAGUCAAAGCUUAAGAGAGUUAUUUACGCAACACAACGGCCACGUCUUUAUUCCAACACACACACAACAUCUCUUAGCAUAAAACACAGUUUUUCCCCAAUUUUUCUGGCAUAUAUAAGGUUUAGACCACAAUAAUAAUUUCAUCAACAGUUACAGUUUGACCCACAGCUGCAGUUUGAUCCACAGCUACAGUCGUCGCACUCCUGGUUGUAGUUCUUCUCGCAACUUUACCACACAAAAACAAACAAACAAAAGAUUAAUAUGAUGAGAUUAAAGACUAAUCAACCACAUGCAUAUAUAUGCAGGACAGACACCGAAAUGUUUUUGAGUUUAUUAACAAAACACAAUUGUAAAAGAAGAGUCAUAAUAAUUUUUGAAUUUUGUACCAUGAAGCCAUUAAAACUCAUCUACAUAUAUGCAAAUAAAGGUAAAGAAGGGAGGAUCUAGGGUUUACCUGCAAGAGUCACCACAUUUGCAGGAGGAGCCACAUCCACAGUUAGAACCUGCCAUUUCUCUUACUUCUCUUUGAUUGAUUUUUGUAGUUUCUUCUUCUUCUUAUGAUGCUUUUGUGAUUUCAACAAAUGGGAAUGGCCACUAUUUAUAGAAGAAAGAGAGAUUCGGUUUUAUAUCCACCAUACACGUGGCAUUUUCUAUUUCCGCAAGUUUUAGUUACGUAUAUGACAUUGACAAAGUAAGAUAAGAAAUUGUAUAUAUGGGAUAAUUGGAUUGCUUUCUAGCGAGACUAUAUAUAAUCUAAAUAAAUUUACGAAUAGCAUCAACUUGCCCAUUAUUUUCUUUUAUGUUAGAUUUGUUCCAACAGCUCAGCUUUAUUCAAGAAAAUAAUUUAAUGUUAGUUUUAGCAAGAAACAGAGAAUCAACAAAUAAAUAGAAAACGUCAAAUUAUUGGCGAAUAAGUAAAAAAAAAAAAAGUCGUACACGCAACAAGAGUAACUAUCUCAAUUGUCAAUUGUAAACGGCAGCCGACCCAAAAAAGAGGCAUGAAGCGUGCCUCUUAAUUUCAUCUGAUCUGCUUACUAUAUACUUCUAUUUUGAAAAAUAUGUUAAUAUUUCUAGCGUAUUUAUUCAUGUAAUAACAGUCAAACAUUACAAUAAUAUAUUCAUAUUUUCCAUAUGUAUACAGUGUAUUAUAUUAAACAUUAUCCUUUCUUUUUCUAAACCUUGUAGACUUGUAGUAAUGUUAUCAUAUGCGUCAGGAAAACUUAUUUAAUGAGAAGUAUUUGUCAUCUGUUUUGAAACCUUCCUGUGGUCAUUUGGACGACGACCCAGGACACGGUCUACGUUCUUCUACUACUUAUUAAUCUUGUAAUCUGAUCCAUAUAUUAUAUCUGAUUAAAUAUCCGUUUAAGAUUUUUUUUUCUUUUAAGUUAACACCAAAAAAAAAAAAAAAAAAUGGACUAAGCGCAAAUUGAAAAUUGAAAUCAUUCAAAAUUCAUAAUUUUUUUCUUCUCGACUUCAUGAAUAAAACUAAAAAAAAAUUGUAGCAAUUUGGUGUGUUUGAUUGCAUUUGUCGCAGACAUCAAUCGUUGCAUGUGUUGAAUUCGAAGUUAAGAUUACGUAACUAUGGAAUUUAGUCGAAGUUCGUAUAUGUUUUUAAGCUUUAUACCGAAAUUUUGGUGGGUGGCACCGACGCACCGUAGAAGACAUUUUUCAUUUUGUCUCAAAAAAUUAUGAUGAGUUUGUGGUGUUAAAUCUGUCCAUAAGCCGUGAGCGACUGAUUUUCUGAACAAACCUAAUUUGUCUCUGGUGCCGAAAGUUUGGGUUGGAAUAAACUUUUUUCCUAUAUUUUACAUAUAUAUAUAUAUAUAUAUAUAUAUAUAUAUAUAUAUAUAUAUAUAUAUAUAUAUAUUUUUUUUAUUUUUUUUGGAAACAGUAUAUAUAUAUAUAUAUUUUAUUACCAAAUAUUUAAGAACCACAUAAACUUGUUUGAGUUGAUUCAAGAGUCUACCUUCUUAGGAAUUCACGAACGUCGCUACUUUACGUAAAGGAAAAUAGGAAUAAUCGUAGAUGGGGUCAUUAUACAAUGGUAACAUGCACUAGGGUUGGGGCUGGUGUUUUCGUUGUCUUCUUGCCCCUUCAAGGUCCUGAAUUGUUGAAUUUACGUUCCAUCACAAAUCCAAUCCUGAAUAUUAUUUUUUGACUUCCUAGUUCCUACGUGCCGGCCUGUUUAGUCAAAAAAUUGGCCUAUAAUAUCAAAAGUGGUAGUGACAUUUUUAUUUAUCUAGGAUUCUAAGAGACAUUAAUUUUAGAUUAUGAGUAGUUGCAGUAAUGUUGAGUUUUUAAUUCAGAUUUGGUUUUUAUAUGUUGCAACUUGCAAUAUAAAUAUGUUGUCUUAAAUUAAAAGAUUGUUUUGUAAUUUUGUUAAAUGACAUGGUGAUUAAAAAAUUUGGUGAGAUACUUUUGGAUAUUUCUAACCUCAUGUUCUCAAAAUCUGCCCAAAUUAGAAAAACUAAAACCUAGAGGGAUUAUAAAGUCCAACAAGAAAUUGAAGCUAUAUGAGCAUCUCAUAUAUACAAUUUUUUUGCUUACCCUAUCAUAUACGAAACUAAAGCUUACAGAUAGCAAGGUUGACAAAAUUCAUAUAAAAUAUAUAUUCGGUUAUAUAUAUAUACAGGAAAUGUAUGGUGGAUAUAAAACCGAAUAUUUAUCUUCUUCUAUAAAAUAGUGGCCAUUCCCUUUGUUGAAAUCACGUAUCAGAAGAAGAAGAAGAAGAAGAUAAAAAGCAAACUACAAAAUUUAAUCAAAGAGACGUAAGAGAUAUGGCUGGUUCUAACUGUGGAUGUGGCUCCUCCUGCAAAUGUGGUGAUUCUUGCAGGUAAGAGCUCCCUAGAUUUUCUCUUCUUUACCUUAACAUGCAUAUAAUAUAUAUGCAUGUGGCUGCUUAUUUCUUAAUUAAUCUCAUCCCAUCAAUUAUUAAAUUUUGGAAUGUUUUAUUUUUUUUUGUGACAAAGUUGCGAGAAGAACUACAACAAGGAAUGUGACGACUGUAGCUGCGGAUCAAACUGCAGCUGCGGGUCAAGCUGUAACUGUUGAAGACAUUAUGGUCUAAAACCAGGGAAACUGGGAAAAUAUGUGUUUGAUGCUAAGAUAAGUUGUGUGUGUUGAAAUAAAGACUUGGCAUUGUGUUGCGUAUUAAGCUUGACUUGUUCCUGCUGUGUAAUGGUUUUAUUUGUAACCUAAAACAAAUACAUAUGUAUUGACUUUUGCGAUUAAUUAUUAAGAUGUGUCUCAUUUCUCCAUAUCUAAGAAUGAAAGGUUAAUCAGCUGAGUAAUC
rnacentral:lncRNA from 1 species